CCGAGGAACUUGACGCGGUGUGCCGGCGCGAAGGCGUACAUGGUGACGAGGAGGACGAGGCCGAAGGCGGCGACGUCGAGGAUGAAAAAGUAGGCGAGCGUCCUGAGCCUGGCCCUGGGCGGCGCGUAGACGAGGUAGGCGAUGAUGUAGACGGUCUCGAUGCCGCAGCCGAAGCCGUUGAUGGUGAGCAGGAGUGGGGACUCGGUCUUGACCAGCGCGUAGAAGAUGAGCAGCGAGCAGCUGAAGAGCGCCACCACGUACGGCACCGAGCUGAACCCGCCCGUCGUCUUCUUCCUGUAGAUCCGCAGGAACGUCGCCCUGCACCCGUAACGUACGCGCGCGUCAGUAAUUCAAGAUCACCACAUGCAUCAUUGAUAGGAACUAAUUAGCUGGUUACAAGCACUUACAUUGGCGCGAGGAACACGAAGAAGGAGACGAUGUUCCCUGCACCAUCAAGGAGGAGGAAAAUCGACGCCGUUAGUUACUUGACAAGUUUGUCAUUGACAUUAUUCCUUAGUUAAUUGUUUUGGCACUUAAUUAGUACUGAAAUGCUAUUUUAACUUAUUUAUUAGUGCACGGGUGCAACUAACGGCGGCAAGGAAGUUGCAGGGGGGAGCACGCAUCCGUCGCCGCUCAACCAAUCGCCACUUGAAGAAAAAGAAAGGGAAUUUGGCAGAGAAAUGGAUAGAGGCCGGGUGCAUGGUGAGCUGUUGGUGACAAUGCAUUAACUACGAAGAGGAAUGCAUGCACAAUUGAUGGAUGGAGGUUUAGCCUUUUAGGUGUGAUGGAUCGAUCUGUGUCUGUGUGUGUCUGUGCCGUUUGUCAGCAGCCGAGGAUGUGUUCUUGCUAGAAGUGGGAGGUGGUGGGGUUCUGGAUGCGCUUCCCUACCCUAUGCAAGGAACCAACCAACCUAGACGACGAUCCAUCUUGCGAUACAUGCACCUGAAUGAAACUGCAUUUCUCGAUCACGUACCUGCGAUGCCGGCGAGGGCGGACGCCGGGUGAGACAUGUCGAAGGGGCCCCCAGCCAUUGCGACGACGGCUCGGCUACUACUAGCUAGCUAGCGCUGGUAUCAGCUGGAGGAAGGGGAGGGAGAGAGAGAGAGAAGAUCUUAGCCAAGAACAAGUCCCGAAGCCAAGAGUCCCCUCUCCUACUCCCUUUCCGGGUGACACAAGGAUCAGUGCCUGGCUCUCGAGGAGAUGCGACUGCUGCUUGUGUGCUCUGGCCUCGGCGACGGGCGCCGGCUUAUAUAGGUCCAGAGCCGGGCUCCUUUUCCCUGGCGCUGGUGCUCUACAGUGGGCAGCCCACUCCUGGCCGCGCGCAUCAUCCAUGGAUGGAGCGGUCCGUUCAUCACCCUGCCCGGCCGGCCUUGUCAAACACACUAGCUAUUAGCCUAUUACCACUCUCUCUCUCUCUCUGUCUCUCUCUCUCUGUGUGUGUGUGAACAUUUGGUGCAUUUGGAACGUAGGCAAAAUGAGUUUUUGGAAACGUGGGGUAUAUCGCAUCUGCGUGGUUUAGUCUUGGAAAGUCGUGUGAUCGGGAGGGGAAGAUGGUACAUUUUAUUUUACGAGAGGAAAGUGAAAUUGGCGAGCUUAAGAAUUUUAGCGACAAAGCCGGCCGCGAGCGAUUCGACCUUCGCAGGAUGCGUAUCAAUUUCCGUUGUGUUUAUUACCUCUGUUGAAAACCGCUAGACCUAGACCUCUUCCAUCUUUUAUUUUUCUUUCCUUUUUUGCGAAAGCCGCUGGACAGACCGCCGGAACGGUUCCCUUGGUUGUUUUGUGUUUCCUCGUUGAACUGGUACUAGUAUAUACGCAUCGAUCGGCUGGGUCGACAAAGCUGAAAGCAUCACCUUCUCUCCACCUAGUACUCACAACAAUAACCAACUCACUUCUUGUCUAAUAUAUAAAGGAAAACCAGCUUCUUUAAUCCUUGUUUACUGCUGUAUUUGUAAAUUUUGUAUAGGGGGAUUUAUUACCUGGUUUUUUCAUGAGUUUCUCUAGUGCAUCAUCAGCGCUGCGAUUGAUGUGAAACGGGAGGCUUUUACAGGAGAUGCUGGUUGCGAGGGAAGAUGUCGGCUAUGGUGUCAGUGAUACCUCUACGGUUCUGAGAUUUACUUAUGUAUUAGGAAACAUACCCUUAUAAUUCCAACGUACAUAUAUGGUAAUAUAAACACCAUAGAUUUGAUAACUUAUGUAUAAAAAUCGUUGUAAUUCAGCCUGCCCUCGCCUUGGCCUCAACGCACUAGCUACUACUCCCAAAUGUGAAUUGAAAUGUUAUGAUUGAAUAUGAAUACUUGUUCUAUUUUUUGGUAUCUCCUUUGGAGUAAAGGCCGCAGCCUGACUUUAAAUUAAUAAAGCCAUCAUGGAACCAGAGUAACAAUCAAACAUUCGGGGCAAAGUGUCAAACCACCAAGCAAAAAUAAGAUGGCCACAACCAACAAAAAUGGCACGCAUGCCAAGAAAAGAACCCAACAAAACCAGCCUAAGACGAUGAUAGAACGCAAAAUGCAGCACCAACUACGGCGACCUGGCCCGAUCACUUCUGGAGACAGAAGUAACAAACGCAUGCACACGAACGAUGAGGACAUCCACAACCGCUUUGUCAGUCUUCUUAAUCAGAGAUUUCCACUGCUGCAAAAAUAUGGACAGAUUGAAGAUGACAUUAACUGUCGAGUCAGGGAACACCUGUUUAAUAGUAAACUUGUUUCUCGUCAUCCAUAGGAUCCAACACAUGGCAAAGAAGCCAAACCAAAACAACCUCUUGAACUAAUCGGACACAGGAGCCGCGAGCAAAAGGGGAUCAGAGAAAUUAGAAGGGGCCCAAGGAACACCCAUCCGCUCCCUCAUACAGUUCCAAAGCAAGGAAGCCAAUGGACACAUAAACAGGAUGUGAUCAGUAUCCUUCAAGCUCCCACAAAGAAAGCAGAACUCCGUACCUAAGCCAUGUCGUUUCUUAAUCUGAUCAGUAGCGGGUAACCGGACCCUCAUGGCCUGCCACAUGAAAUUUUUGAUUUUUGGGGGCACCCUAGAAGACCAAAUGAACUUUGACACCGAUGGGACGGAGGACAAAACACGAUAGCAAGAUUUAACCAAAAAACAACUAGAUGCACAAUGAGGCUAGAAGGCCACAUCAUGAUCCUCCGAGAGAAUAGAGAGGACAUCAGCAAGGUGAUGCCAAUCUUCCAUCUCUUUAGGAGAAAAGACCUGACGGAAAUCGAUGUCCCAACCACUGGCCACAAGCUCCGCGAUAGAGAUAGAAGGAAAACACACAAAAGAAAAAAAGCAUAGGAAAGGAAAAGGCAAGAGGGCCAUCUCCCACCCACCAGUCCAACCACAACCGAACGGACAUGCCAUUGCCAACUGAAAAUUUCACCACACAUUUGAAACCAUCACAAACCUGUAGGAGCUGGCGCCAAAACUGAGAGACCGAGGAUCCGGACUCAGAAUUAGCCAAGAGAGGAUGCGAAACAGGAUGUAUUUAGCUUUAAGAACGCACAACCAAAGAGAGAUUGGAUCAGAAUGAAGAAUACACAUCAAGCAGUUGUUCAUAAUAGAGGUAUUGAGGAUCCCGAGACCCCCAAACCCUUAGACUUACACAUAAGCUUCCAUUUCACGAGCAUGUACUUCUUUUUGUUGUCCGCAGUGUUCCAGUAAAAACCACUCCUAUGUUUGUCAAAGCCAGCAUGAAUACCCUCGGGAAGGCGAUAAAAACCCAUGAGAAACAUAGGGAGGGAAUUGAAGCACACAUUGAUCACGCUAACCCUACCAGCCGUGGAGUUGUAGCGACCCCUACAAGGCAUAACUCUAUUACCCACCUCAACAACACGGAAAUUGAAAUCCUUCAAUAACAAUUUGAGGGGAGAGAUAGGCAUCCCAAGGUAUAUGAAAGGGAAAGAAUCAAGAGAACAGUUUAGAAGAGUAGCCACCUCCCUAGACUCCUCGGGAGGGGCACCCAAAAUAAGGAUCUCACUCUUAGAAAAAUUGAUUUUAAGGCCAGACAUCUCUUCGAAACAUAGCAGAAGAAAUUUAAGGUUAGCGAGGCACCGAUCAUUGUUUUGUACAAGAAUGAUAGUAUCGUCCACAUAUUGAAGGUGAGAAAGACCCGCAUGGAGAAUGUUAGAGCACACGGGAAGGGUGUGGCCCGCAACCGUGACCUGAUUCAGAAUGCAGGAGAAAGCAUCGGCUACAAAAUUAAAUUGAAGAGGGGAAAUGGGAUCACGUGUGUUAGAGCAUAUUUCUCCAUAUGUGGUUUUGGUAAUUGAUGACAAUCCCUAUGGACUAAUGGUUGCCUUAAGUUAUAUUCGAAGGAUUUGUCCAUAGGAACUUCUUGAAGUCCAUCUGUUGGUUUCAAGGAGUUUAUAUGAUCACCAAGGUGGUAUUCAAAGUAUUAUCCAAAGAUUGGUCAUAAAGACACAAGGUUGAUGAAGACUAAGCAGAGAGUAAAUCAAGAUUAUCAACACAAAAAGUGUACAAGAUGUACUGAGAGGGAUCAAGUGAUCCCAUGGUAUGGUAAGCAUUGCCAUAACACUUUUGUGUACUAACCCAUGGUCUUCGUGAGAGUUCUACGUGGGGUUAGGUGUGUUUCCAUGGGUUUGCGUCAAGAGGAAGAUCUCAUUCAACCUAUGAAGGAUGACAUCAAGUGGUGACCGUCAUCAAGAUUGCGACGCGCAAGUUCAAGUGGAGCAUCACGAAGAUAUCAUGCUUGAAGCUUGCCGUCCAUUGUGGUGGCAAUGGACUUGUGAAGAUGUGCUGAAGAGUGGCUCACCCAUAGUGAGUAUGGGGGAGCAAUCAACUAGUCUUCAUCAAACCAACGCAAUCAAGAAAGGUGGGCCACCUCGAGGAAGCCAAGAUCAUCAUCAUCUAGCUCAAGAGGACUAGUUGCAAGUUAUUGGUUUGCCCUUGAUAGGUUUUUCUAUUGUAGGAUAGUUUGUCGUACUACCAAGGGGGGCUCUCAAGUGAGUAGCUUGAUCAUAUUAUUCGUUGAGAGCUCAAACCAUUUGCAUCCUUGCAUCAUCUUUCUUGGUUCUUGUUUGGUGUUUCUCUUUGUAAGUUUUAGAGCUUAUGGUCAUUUUCGUGACAAGCUCGAGUAAAUCGAAAAUGGAGUCCAUAUGCAUCUUCUAUGAUGUUUUCGAUGUUGGAAGUUUUUGUCGGUUCUUCAUUCAUAGAGGUCUCAUAUCUAUAUAUCAUUGGCAUUUUCACAACUGCAUAUUCUCAAGAUUUUGGAUAGCUCUUGUCGUUCUAAAUCCAACAAGCUUGAGUUUGCUCGAUUCAGAGCUCGUAUGCGAAAGUUAUGGCAGUUUCAGUGGCCAGCGGUAGUACCGCUCUUGGAGCGGUAGUAGUUUUUUACUGCCACUCUGUGGCGGUAGUACCAUCUGGUACUACCGUGUCGUCGGACUUUUGCACAAGUGCAGCCUCAUAGGUGGCAGGCAUAGAAGUAAUUUUUUUACUACCGUGGUUGGUGAACCUACUGUGCGGUAGUACCGCUCCUAGCAGUGGUAGUACCUCUCUUCUCGGGCUGUGAGUGGGGGUAAUGGUCGGAUUCUUUCCCCCACUAUAUAAAGGGGGUCUUCUUCCCCUUUGGAUCUAAUCCAUCCGCUGAGCUCGUGUUCUUCCCACAUUGUUGACCUUCUUAGAGCUUGCUAACUCUCAAUCCCUACAAUGAUUCUUGCUAGUUCUUGAGGGAAAAGAGAGAGGAGAUCUAGAUCCACAUCUCCACCAAUCACUUUCUCCUCUAUGUGAGGGGAACACCUUGGAUCUUGACCUUGGAGUUCUUUAUGAGCUCCUUGUUCUUCCUCUCACAUUUCUCCAUAGCUUUUGUUGUUGUGGAGGGAUUUGAGUGUGAGGGACCUGACCACUUCUUGUGUUUUUGCCAUUGCAUUAGUUGCAUCUUUGAGUUCUCCAUGGUGAUACGUGGAAGUGAGAAGUUGAGAAGCUUAUUACCCCUUGGGUACUUGGUACCCCUAGAGAUUGUUAUUCGUGGAUUCUUUGGCAUCCUAGAAGCUUGGUGGUGCCUCGGAGCUCAACCAUUGUGGUGUAAAGCUCCGGGCAAGCAUCGGGGUCUCCAAUUAAGUUGUGGAGAUUGCCCCGAGCAUUUGUGGUCACCUCGAAGCCAUAUGCCAUUGUGGUGAAGCUUCGUGGUGUUGUUGGGAGCCUCCAAUUAAGUUGUGGAGAUUGCCCCAACCUUGUUUAUACGGGUUCGGUGACCCCCUCAAGGGUCCCUUAGUGGAAUCAUGGCAUCUUGCGUUGUGUGAGGGCAUGAUGAGAUUACAGUGGCCUUAGUGGCAUCCUGGGGAGCAUUGUGCCUCCACACCGCUCCAAACGGAGAUUAGCAUCCGCAAGGGUGUGAACUUCGGGAUACAUCAUCGUCUCUGCGUGCCUCAGUUAUCUCUUACCCGAACCCUUUACUUAUGCACUUUACUUUGUGAUAGCCAUAUUGUUUCUUGCUAUAUAUCUCGCUAUCACUUAUUUGUUUAUCUUGCUUAGCAUAAGUUGUUGGUGCACAUAGGUGGGCCUAGUUGUUUUAGGUUUUGUGCUUGACAAAUUAAACGUUAGUUUUAUUCCGCAUUUAUUCAAGCCUAAACUUUAAUUAUUUUAAAGCGCCUAUUCACCCCCCCUCUAGGAGACAUCCACGUCCUUUCACCCUGUCUAAGGCCUCGACCAUUCUUAAAGUAGGGACAGAUUGUGCCAUUAACCGAACUAGCAGUGUCUUCCCUCACACACACAAGCCGCAUGGUAUGGUGAACAUAGGUACUAUCAAAGCCCUUAGCAAGGAGUAUAUAACGGAGAAAGGACCAACUAACUAAAUUUUGCGCUUUUUAAAGUCCAGCUUCAGCACAACCGCACUUCAACAAUUAGAAUUAAGGUCAUGAAGAACUUCAUGCAGGUUGAGGAAUGCAUCUAAGAUAAAAACAACCUUUGAUGAAGGGAGGCUGAUGUUGACCAAGGAUCUUAUGAGCAACAGGAGACAGACGGGUUGGAAAACCCUUAGAAGAGAACUUGGCAAUAUUGUUAAUAAGGGCAAUAGGUCUAAACAGCUUGAUGGAAUCAAGCUGUUUCACCUUGGGGAGGAGAUAAAUGAUGGCAUAGUUCAAUCUAGAGAUGUAUAGCGUACCCAAGCACAAGCCAGUGAUGAUAGCUUGAACAAGGAAUUUGGGGACCGGGCAGAAUUUCUUGAAGGAAGGGGCAGAAAACCCAUCAGGCCCAAGAGUGGAAUUGGAUCUAGACGAAAAGACCACCAAGUCAAUUUCAUCAUGAGAGAGAGGAAUCAAAAGCAUUAUAUUGUCAUCCACAAAGACGCUAUCAUACACCGCCCACAAAUCAUGAGAGAAACGCACAUCAGCCGGACACUUAGCCCCAAGAAGAUUAGAAACAAUGAAAAAAUGUGGUGCUUGAUGAUCCCAGGGUCGGCGACCACCUCCUCAUUGAUACAAAGCCUGAGAAUGGAACACCUAUGCCAGCCAUUGGCAAUAGCAAAGAAGUAGGCCAUAAUUGAGUCCCCCUUAAGCAACCAGGAAAGGAUACCACGUUGCUGCCAGUACAUAUCUUCCUUCUUAAGCAAGCAAAGACGAGAAUCUUCAAGCUCAUAUCUAUGGGACCAUCCACCCACAUCCAGGCCUACCGAAUCAACAGUAGCAUCGACCUCCUUAAUCAAAGAUAGAAUCCUACCCUUCUCCUUACGAGCUUCCGAGGCACGAUUCCAACUCCACCCCUCUAAGAAUCGCCUGAGGUUAGAGGACAAGAAAUGGAAAUCAUCUAUAGGACCAAAAGAAUGAUGCAAAGAACCAAACAAACCCAAAAUCUUAUCAGAGACCAACUGAGGGAAGCCCUCAAUAAGUAGCCAUGAGGUAUCAAACCUGAAAGGGCGGGGAAAAAUCAGAGAGGCCAACCCCGAGUCAAGGAGGAGAGGAGUAUGAUCACUGCCAAUGGAAGGCUCCACAACGAGCAAAGAACAAUGAAAAAGAACAUCCAAGUCGGGGGAAGCAAACACCCUAUCAAAAACUGAAUGCACCGGGUCUAACUGGUGGUUAGACCAAGUAAAACUAGCCCCAGAUCUUGUNNNNNNNNNNNNNNNNNNNNNNNNNNNNNNNNNNNNNNNNNNNNNNNNNNNNNNNNNNNNNNNNNNNNNNNNNNNNNNNNNNNNNNNNNNNNNNNNNNNNGUCCGGAGGUAAAGAUUGAUAUAUAGGACGGAUGGUUUCGGACACCGGAAGUGUUUCGGGCGUCACCGGUAACGUACCGGGACCACCGGAGGUGGCCCCGAGGGUCCACCGGAAGGGGGCAAUGAUCCCGGGAGGCUAGAUGGGCCAAGUGCAGGAGGGAACCAGCCCCUAGGUAGGCUGGUGCGCCCCCCCCCCCACUCAGCCCAUGGCGCAAGAAGAAGGGAGAGGGGGAACCCUAGCGCAGGUGGGCCUAAGGCCCACCAGAAGGGUGCGCCACCCCUCCUCCCCCCUUGGCCGCCGCACCUCCCCCUAUCUAGGGUUGCCGCCCCUCCCAGGAGAGGGAAACCCUCAAGGGGGUGCAGCCCCUCCCCCCCCCUAUAUAUAGUGGGCACUUUUGGGCUUUUGGAGACACAUUUUUCCCUCUCCCUCGGCGCAGCCCUGCUCUUCCUUCUCCUCCUCUCUACCGGUGCUUGGCGAAUCCCUGCCGGGAGACCUCGUCUCUCCAUCGACACCAUGCCGUCGUGUUGCUGGAGAUCUUCCCCAACCUCUCCCUCCUCCUUGCUGGAUCAAGGUGCGGGAGACGUCACCGGGUUGCACGUGUGUUGAACGCGGAGGUGCCGUAGUUCGGCACUAGAUCGGAAUCACACCGCGAUCUGAAUCGUCGCGAGUACGACUCCAUGAACCGCGUUCUAGUAACGCUUCUGCUUAGCGAUCUUCAAAGGUAUGAAGAUGCACUCACCCCUCUCUCAUUGCUGGUCUCUCCAUAGGAAGAUCUGAAUAUGCGUAGGAAUUUUUUUGAAUUUAUGCUACGUUUCCCAACAGAUCUAUGAAGCUCAUGCAAUGCAAAACGAGUCACAAAAUUAUUCAAAAUUUCAGCCCUAGACCAAGAAAAAAUAGAGUUGUUUUUGUCUCGAGGAAACCUAAGAAGGUUAAAGUCUCCACCCAACAAAAAGGGCACACACGCGACAUCCAAUUUGAGAGACAAUUCAAGCAAGAAGGUGCGAUAUAUAUAUAUAUAUAUAUNNNNNNNNNNNNNNNNNNNNNNNNNNNNNNNNNNNNNNNNNNNNNNNNNNNNNNNNNNNNNNNNNNNNNNNNNNNNNNNNNNNNNNNNNNNNNNNNNNNNCAAACGCUACUCCGUGACUGGGUAGUUACAAAGGUAGGUUUCGGGCUUGUCCAAACCCAUCCUGCGAGACGUGGUUGAGCAAGAUGGGAUUUGCCCCUCCGACCAGGAGAGAUAUACUCUGGGCCCCUCGGGUGAUCUGACCUCGAUAAGCAUGACUAUGCGAUGAGGCUUAUGAGAUAAUACAAAUGUUGGUGAGAUUCACCGAAACGAGAAAGAGGUUGUGCGACAACAAGGAUGACCAUGUCGCCUUGAGCAUGACAACGUAUAACGUGUGGCAAAGGGAACAAAAGUAUGAAGUACAGGUUCGCCUAACCAGCUUCUUCGGACACUUGGAGAUGACACGCCUUGCUAGAGGCCGCUACCGACAAGCCAAGUCAGACGUGGUCUGACUCGCGACCAAGUGAACAAGAACCUAAGGGGUCGCGAGCUUAAAGUAAGGAACACGUGGGAUUUAGGGUCCGUGCGAGGCCCAAGAGUUCGGCCUGCGCCGGGCGCCUAUAUAUAGUGGACAUGCGACACUCUUAUUGAGAUGAUUACUUCGUCGCCGUCAUUAGGGUUGUGCAUGUGUUGCACCUAGCCACCUCCACUCGCCACCGCCAACUGUGUGAUCCAGACCUAGCAGUCCGCCGCACAGUGUCUCUCUUGCGCGCGUGGAUACAGUUAGAGGCGCUGCAACGCCACUCCAAUGAACCUGUACGUGGGAUCCGGCGACUGAUGACUGAUACGUCUCAAACGUAUGUAUAAUUUUUGAUGGUUUUGAUGCUAUUAUCUUGUCAUCUUUGGAUGUUUUGUUUACCUUUUAUAUCUUUUUUGGGACUAACUUAUUAAUUCAGUGCCAAGUGUCAGUUCCUGUUUUUUCUGCGUUUUUGGCUCUUUUCAGAUCUGAUUUUGGAACGGAGUCCAAACGGAANNNNNNNNNNUUUUUUCCAGAACGGAAGAAGAUCAGUGGGCUUGAGGGCCAAGGCAGGAGAGCUACAGGGGGCCCACAAGCCCUGUAGCCGCCACCAGGGGGCGGCGGCUAUUAAGCUUGUGGCCUCCCUCGCGCCCCCUGACCUAGCUCCUUCACCUAUAUAUUCCCUAAAAUACAGAAAAGUAGGGGAAUCCACGAAAACACUUUUCCGCCGCCGCAAGCUUCCGUUUCCACAAGAUCUCAUCUGGAGACCCUUCCCGGUGCCCUGCCUGAGGGGACUUUGGAGUUGGAGGCUUUAUACAUCAAUAUCAUCGCCCCUCCAAUGACUCGUGAGUAGUUCACUUCAGACCUACGGNNNNNNNNNNNNNNNNNNNNNNNNNNNNNNNNNNNNNNNNNNNNNNNNNNNNNNNNNNNNNNNNNNNNNNNNNNNNNNNNNNNNNNNNNNNNNNNNNNNNCUCUAUUAUUCAGUAUAUGUGUUCAGUGAACAUUGAUCCUUGGGGUCACUGCGCAUGGCGAACUCGAUUUGCUAGUCGGGGUCCCCACAAACACCUACACCCCCUGAGCAAAUUAGAGUUGAACCUAGCAUUGCUAUUAUCAAAGAUCUUCUGUCCGACGAUGUUGAGGGACUUAAUAUUCACUUCUAUGAAGAUGCUGGUAGAAUUGCUAAACCUCACGUUAGAGACAAACAUAGGCUUGUUGUUGGCAUGCGUGUGGUUUCUGUUAGGAUAGGAGAUCAUUGUUAUCAUGGUUUAUGUGACGUGGGUGCUAGUGUUAGUGCAAUACCUCAAUCCUUAUACGAUAAAAUCAAAGAUGAGAUUGCACCUGUUGAGAUAGAGCCUAUUGAUGUCACUAUUCAGCUUGCCAAUAGAGAUACUAUCUGCCCUGUGGGAAUUGUUAGGGAUGUUGAAGUCUUGUGUGGUAAAAUGAAGUAUCCUGUUGAUUUCCUCAUAUUUGGUAGACCCUUUCUCAAUACUGUCAAUGCUCAUAUUGAUUGUGAGAACCAAACUGUCACUGUUGGCUUUGAAGGUGUGUCACAUGAGUUCAAUUUCUCUAAGUUUGGUAGACAACCUCAUGAAAAGGAGUUUCCUAGUAGGGAUGAAACUAUUGCAUUAGCUUCUAUUGUCGUGCCUCCUACGGAUCCCUUAGAGCAAUACUUGCUUGAGCAUGAAAAUGAUAUGCAUAUGGAUGAAAGGGAUGAGAUAGAUAGAGUUAUCUUAGAACAAUAUCCUAUCCUUAAGAAUAACUUGAAUGUUGAACUGCUGGGGAUCCAUCCCCACCAAAGGGUGAUCCUAUGUUCGAGCUUAAACAGUUGCCUGAUACUCUUAAGUAUGCCUACCUUGAUGAAAAAGAGAUAUAUCCUGUUAUUAUUAGUGCUAGCCUCUCAGAGCAUGAAGAAAAGAAGUUACUAAAAACUCUGAGGAAGCACCGUGUUGCUAUAGGAUAUACUCUUCAUGAUCUUAAGGGCAUUAGUCCCACUCUAUGCCAGCACAAGAUUAAAACUGAUCCUGACUUCAAACCAGUUGUUGAUCAUCAAAGGAGAUUGAAUACUAAGAUGAAAGAAGUAGUGAGAAAAGAAAUACUAAAGCUCCUGGAAGCGGGUAUUAUCUAUCUUGUUGCUCAUAGCGAUUGGGUGAGUCCGGUGCAUUGCGUCCCUAAGAAGGGAGGCAUUACCGUUGUCCCUAAUGAUAAGGAUGAAUUGAUCCCACAGAGGAUUACUGGCUAUAGGAUGGUGAUCGAUUUUAGGAAAUUGAAUAAAGCCACUAGGAAAGAUCAUUACCCUUUGCCUUUUAUCGACCAAAUGCUAGAAAGGCUGUCUAAACACACACACUUCUGCUUUCUAGACGGCUAUUCUGGUUUCGCCCAAAUACCAUUUGCACAAUCUGAUCAGGAGAAAACCACUUUCACCUGCCCUUUCGGUACCUUUGCUUAUAGACGUAUGCCUUUUGGCUUAUGUAAUGCACCUGCCACCUUUCAAAGAUGUAUGAUGGCUAUAUUCUCUGAAUUUUGUGAAAAAGAUUGUUUAGGUUUUCAUGGAUGACUUCUCCGUUUACGGGUCUUCCUUUGAUGAUUGCCUCAGCAACCUUGAUCGAGUUUUACAGAGAUGUAAAGACACCAAUCUUGCCUUGAAUUCGGAGAAGUGCCACUUUAUGGUUAAUGAAGGCAUCGUCUUAGGACAUAAAAUUUCUGAAAGAGGUAUUGAAGUCGAUAAGGCUAAGGUUGAUGCAAUCGAGAAAAUGUCGUACCCCACAGAUAUCGAAGGUAUAAGAAGUUUCCUUGGUCAUGCUAGUUUCUAGAGAAGGUUCAUUAAAGACUUCUCUAAGAUUUCUAGGCCUCUUACAAAUCUCUUGCAAAAGGAUAUUCCUUUUGUCUUUGAUGAUGAUUGUGAGGAAGCCUUCGAAAUACUUAAGAGGGCUUUGAUAACUGCACCUAUUGUUCAACCACCUGAUGGGAACUUACCUUUUGAGAUCAUGUGUGAUGCUAGUGAUUAUGUUGUUGGUGCUGUUCUAGGGCAAAGAGUCGAUAAGAAGUUGAAUGUUAUUCACUACACUAGUAAAACUCUAGACAGUGCCCAGAGAAACUAUGCUACUGCGGAGAAGGAAUUUUUAGCAGUCGUGUUUGCCCGUGAAAAGUUCAGGUCUUACAUAGUUGAUUCCAAAGUCACUUUUCACACUAAUCAUGCUGCUAUUAAGUACCUCAUGGAGAAGAAAGACGCUAAACCUAGACUUAUCAGAUGGGUUCUCUUGCUACAAGAGUUUGAUUUGCACGUUCUCGACAGAAAGGGUGCUGAUAACCCAGUAGCAGAUAACUUGUCUAGGUUGGAGAACGUUCUUGAUGACCCACAACCUAUUGAUGAUAGCUUUAGAAAGUCGUAUGCUUUGGAAGAAGCUUGUACAGUUUGGGAAGGGGUUUUUUGAGAGAAAAGAAGAAUCUACUUCAACCGAUAUGCCCUUAGGCACGGCCAUGCAUAACAUAGAAAUCACACGUGGAAGGGGUGGGCAAUUAGCUAGAGCAGCAGGUGCUGUAGCGAAACUCAUUGCAAAAGAGGGUAAAUCGUCCCUAUGAGCAAUUGAAUGUCAUCAAUGCUUCACGUAGUGCAUCGUGGUAUGCUGAUUAUACAAACUAUAUUGUUGCCAAAUAUAUACCACCUAGUUUCACGUACCAGCAAAAGAAGAAAUUCUUCUUUGACUUGAGACAUUACUUCUGGGAUGAUCCUCACAUUUAUAAGGAAGGAGUAGAUGGUGUUAUUAGACGUGUACCUGAACAUGAACAUGGACAAAUCCUACAGAAGUGUCACUCCGAGGCCUACGGAGGACACCAUGCGGGAGAUAGAACUGCACACAAGGUAUUGCAAUCAGGAUUCUAUUGGCCCACUCUCUUCAAGGAUGCCCAUAAGUUUGUCUUGUCUUGUGAUGAAUGUCAAAGAAUAGGUAAUAUCAGUAAACGCCAGGAAAUGCCUAUGAACUAUUCACUUGUCAUUGAACCAUUUGAUGUCUGGGGCUUUGAUUAUAUGGGACCUUUUCCAAAAUCCAACGGGUAUACUCAUAUCGUAGUUGUUGUUGAUUAUGUCACUAAGUGGGUAGAAGCUAUCCCCACUAGUAGUGCUGAUCACAACACCUCUAUCAGGAUGCUGAAAGAAGUUAUCUUCCCUAGAUUUGGAGUCCCUAGAUAUCUAAUGACCGAUGAUGGUUCACACUUCAUUCAUGGUGCUUUCCGUAAAACGCUUGCUAAGUAUGAUGUCAACCAUAGAAUUGCGACUCCCUAUCACCCUCAGUCCAGUGGUCAAGUAGAGCUAAGUAAUAGAGAGAUUAAACUGAUUCUGCAAAAGACAGUCAACAGGUCUAGAAAGAAUUGGUCUAAGAAGCUCGAUGAUGCACUGUGGGCUUAUAGAACUGCCUAUAAGAAUCCCAUGGGCAUGUCUCCGUACAAAAUGGUGUACGGUAAAGCAUGUCAUUUACCUCUUGAGCUAGAGCAUAAAGGUUAUUGGGCAAUCAAAGAGCUCAACUUUGAUUUCAAACUUGCCGGUGAGAAGAGGUUAUUUGAUAUUAGCUCGCUUGAUGAAUGGAGUACUCAGGCAUAUGAGAAUGCCAAGUUGUUCAAAGAGAAGGUUAAGAGGUGGCAUGAUAAGAGGAUAAAAAAGCGUGAGUUCAAUGUAGGUGAUUAUGUCUUGCUAUAUAACUCUCGUUUAAGAUUCUUUGCAUACAAGCUUCUCUCUAAAUGGGAAGGUCCCUAUGUUGUUGAGGAAGUAUAUCGUUCCGGUAAUAUCAAGAUCAACAACACGAAAGGUAAUUGUCCGAGAGUUGUAAAUGGGCACAGAAUCAAGCAUUAUAUCUCAGGUACUCCCAUAAAUGUUGAAAGCAAUAUCAUCAAUACUGUUUCAGAUUCCGAAAACGAAGAGGUAUGUGAUUCGAUAAGAAAGCAGAGUCCAAAACUUUUCCGGUAGGAAUUUUUCUCCGUUUUGGAAUAUUUGAAAAAAUACAAAAAUUGGAAGUAAUCCGGAAAGUGCGCGAGGAGGCGACAAGCCUGCACGACGCGGGCCCACCCCCUGGCCGUGCCAUGAGGGCUUGUGGCCACCUCGUGCGCCUCCCGGACUCCUUUUUCGUGCGGGGUACUCCUUCUGGUCUGAAAAAAUCAUUAUAUAUACUCCCGUUUGGUCUGACCCCUGCAUCACGCAGAUUUCCUCUGUUUUUCGUUUCGAGCCUGUUUUCUGCCGCUGAUCUAGGUCAAGAUGUUUUCUCAGAUUUAGAGGGGGAGAGCUAUGUGGCUGAUUACCUUGCUAAUCCCAAGGUCAAUGGGGACGUGGAUCCUUAUGGCUGGACCACUGAUGAGGAAGAAGAUUAUGAUCCGAAGGGGAAGGAACAAACAAGUUCCGAUGAAGAGGAGGCUCCUCUACCUCAACCUGGACACACUCAUGUGGAGUUCAAGAAGUCGAUCCUCCCUGACUCAAGGAAGAAGCCUAAGACCUUGUUAACCCUUCUUGUUUCUUGCAGGAGAGUAAGAAGGAAUUAUGCCAAAGGGUGUUGAAGCUUGAAGAGGAAAAUGAUGAUCUGAGGGAGCAGAAUUUUAUGCUCAAGUGGAAAUUAAACAAACUCAAGACCUCUUCAACAACUCCUCCACCUUCACCACCAAAGGAAGACAACUCAGCAUUGGUAUGGGCAAUCCCCUUGGCUUGUGCCAAGCUUGGGGGAGUUGCCUCGGUAUCGUAUCACCAUCACAUCUUUUGCCUUUAACUUUGUUUUAGUUUUCCUUUUCAGUUUUCUCUUUCUCUAAUAGUUUAAAAGUCUUAGUGUUUUAGUCUUGAGUUUUGCUUUAUGUCACCCCCGAUGUAUUCGAGCUCGUGAGCCAUAUAAUAAAGAGUGUCUUAGUUGAAGGGCUUUGCCUCUUGCCAUGAUUAAAAGAGUGAGAAUAGAACAAAAGCAUGAAAGAUCAUGUAAUGAUCUUAUGGGAAGUGAUGGCUUCACAUAUAAAAAGAAUGAGGAUUGAAACUUGUUGAGGGUAGGAAAACGUAGACCUUGGUCAUUGUUGCGAUUAAUAGGAAGUGAUAAAGAAGGAGAGGUUCACAUAUAAAUAUAUCAUCUCUGACACCAUCUAUGAUUGUGAACACUCACUAAACUAUUGCAUGCCUAGAAGUAGAUGUUGGACAAGGAAGACAAUGUAAUGAAUUGUGUUUGCUUGGCUCUGAAGAAUGUUAUAUGAUUAGAGAUCCCUUAGCAUGUGACGAUUGCUUCCACCUCACAUUAGCCAAACCUCCCGCACCAAGUAGAGAUGCUACUUGUGCAUCCAUAAACCUUCAAACCAGUUUUGCCAUGAGUGUCCACCAUACCUACCUAUGGAUUGAAUAAGAUCCCUCAAGUAAGUUGUCAUCGGUGCAACAAUAAAAAUUGUUGUCUAAUAUGUAUGAUCUAUUAGUGUGUGGAAAAUAAGAUUUAUACGAACCUGUGAUGAGGAAGACAUAAAAGCGACAGACUGCAUAAUAAAGUUCUUUAUCACAGGAGGCAAUAUAAAGUGAUGUUCCUCCGCACUAAGAGGACACGCAUCCAAACCUCAAAAGCGCAUGACAACCUCUGCUUCCCUCUGCGAACGGCCUAUCUUGUACCUUUACUUUUUGCCCUUGAAAGAGUCAUGGUGAUCUUCACCAAUUCCUUAUUUUGCCUUUAUCUUGGCUAACAUCAUAUGCUUGGGAAAGAUCUAUAUUCAUAUGUCAACUUGGAGGUAGGCAUUCAUGAAUUAUUACUGUUGACAUUACCCUUGAGGUAAGCAGUUGGGAGGCAAAACUGUAAGCCCCUAUCUUUCUUUGUGUCUAGCUGAAACUUUGAUCUCAUGAGUACCACGUGAGUUGUAGCAAUUGUAGAGAACGAAAGAAUGAUUGAGUAUGUGGAUUUGCUUUACAAGCUCUUAUUUGACUCUUUCUGAUGUUGUGAUAAAUUGCAAUUGCUUCAAUGACUAAAGGCUAUCGGUUGUUACUUCUCGAUAAGGUUCUUGAUCCAUGUUUUACUUUGUGAAGGAAUUAUCACUUUAGCAUGAGAGAUUAUAUGUUGGUAUUGCUGUUCUGAUCUUGAUCAUGAUGCAUGCAUGUUCGUAUCUUGUUUUGUCGACACCUCUCUCCCUAAACAUGUGGACAUAUUUAUUGAGCUAGGCUUUCGCUUGAGGACAAGCGAGGUCUAAGCUUGGGGGAGUUGAUACGUCCAUUUUGCAUCAUGUUUUCAUGUUGACAUUUAUCGCUUCUUGGGCUGUUAUUUCACUUCACGGUACAAUUCUUAUGCCUUUUCUCUCUUAUUUUGCAAGGUUUACAUGAAGAGGGAGAAUGUCGGCAACUGGAAUUCUGGCUUGAAAGUGGAGCAAAGUUGAGAUACCUAUUCUGCGCAACUCCAAACGCCGUAAAAAUCAACGAGGAUUUUUUCCGGAUUUAUAAAAAAUACUGGGCCGAAGAAGUGCCAGAGGGGCGCGUGCAGGUGGCCACAAGCGUGCACGGCGCGACCAUCCCCCCCCUAGGGCGCGCCAUGAGGGCUUAUGGGCAGCCUGCUGGCCCACUUGCCCCCCUCUUCUGUUAUAUGAAGGGUUUCGUCUGGAAAAAAAUCAAGGAGGAUCUUUUUCGUGGUUUCGCCGCCGCCACGAGGCGGAACUUGAGCAGAACCAAUCUAGAGCUCCGGCACGACGAUCCUGCCGGGGACACUUCCCUCGCGGAGGGGGAAAUCGUCGCCAUCGUCAUCACCAACACUCCUCUCAUCAGAGGGGACUCAUCACCAUCAACAUCUUCAUCAGCACCAUCUCAUCUCCAAACCCUAGUUCAUCACUUGUAACCAAUCUCCAUCUAGCGACUCCGAUUGGUACUUGUAAGGUUGCUAGUAGUGUUGAUUAUUAUUUGUAGUUGAUGCUAGUUGGAUUACUUGGUGGAAGAGUUGAUGUUCAGAUCCUUGAUGCUAAUCAUUACCUCUCUGGUCAUGAUUAUGAUUAUGCUUUGUGAGUAGUUACUUUUGUUCCUGAGGACAUGGGAUAAGUCAUGCUAAUAGUAGUCAUGUGAAUUUGGUAUUCGUUCGGUAUUUUGAUGUGUUGUAUGUUGUUUUUCCUCAAGUGUUGUUAUGUGAACGUCGACUACAUAACACUUCACCAUUAUUUGGGCCUAGAGGAAGGCAUUGGGAAGUAGUAAGUAGAUGACGGGUUGCUGACGGGUUGAGGCAACAAAAGACCUUCCAACGGCGCCAGAAACACGUGCUGAUGGGAGACUAUUCUUGUCUUGAUACUCCUCAGCAAUGGCACCAGGAAUCCUUCUGCUACGUCUACGCCUUUAGGGACUUCCUUGGCAAAUAUGCAAAGGAUUCCCCCGUCGCCUUAGAGCCUUGCGUUGGUGUUCCCUCGAAGCGGAAAGGGUGAUGUAGCACACCGGCGGUAAGUAUUUUCCUCAGUUUUGAGAACCAAGGUAUCGAUCUAGUGAAGGAUUAUCACAUGUACCUGCACAAACACAAAGAGCUUGCACCCAACGCUAUGAAGGGGUUGUCAAUCCCUUAUAGAUUGUUUGCCAAGUGAGAACUGAAAGCAACAAAGUAACAAAGCAAAGUAAAAGCAAAAGUGGAAACGAUAGGUGCGAAUAGACCCGGGGGCCGUAGUGUUCACUAGUGGCUUCUCUCAUGAAAGCAAGUAGACGGUGGGUGAACGAAUUACUGUCGAGCAAUUGAUAGAACUGCGCAAAGUCGUGACAUUAUCUAUGGCAAUGAUUAUAUCUAUAGGCAUCACGUCCAAAACAAGUAGACCGAUACUUUCUGCAUAAACUACUAUUACUCCACACGUAGACCGCUAUCCAGCAUGCAUCUAGUGUAUUAAGUCCAAAAGAAUAGAGUAACGCCUUAAGCAAGAUGACAUGAUGUAGAUGGACAAUCUCAUAUCUACGAUAAAAGCCCAUCUUGUUACCCUUGAUGCCAACAACACGAUGCAUGCCUUGCUGCCCUUCUGUCACUGGGAAAGGUCACCACACGGUAUGAACCCAAAACCAAGCACUUCUCCCAUUGCAAGAAUCAUAGAACUAGUUGGCCAAACAAAACCCAAGACUCGGAGAGACUUACAAGGAUAUCAAAUCAUGCAUAUAAGAAAUCAGCAAAGACUCAAAUAUAUAUCAUAGAUAAUCUGAUCACAAAUACACAAUUCAUCGGAUCUCAACAAACACACCGCCAAAGAGGAUUACAUCGGAUAGAUCUCCAUGAAGAUCAUGGAGAACUUUGUAUUGAAGAUCCAAGAGAGAGAAGAAGCCAUCUAGCUACUAACUACGGACCCGUAGGUCUGAAGUGAACUACUCACGAGUCAUUGGAGGGGCGAUGAUAUUGAUGUAUAAAGCCUCCAACUCCAAAGUCCCCUCAGGCAGGGCACCGGGAAGGGUCUCCAGAUGAGAUCUUGUGGAAACGGAAGCUUGCGGCGGCGGAAAAGUGUUUUCGUGGAUUCCCCUACUUUUCUGUAUUUUAGGGAAUAUAUAGGUGAAGGAGCUAGGUCAGGGGGCGCGAGGGAGGCCACAAGCUUAAUAGCCGCCGCCCCCUGGUGGCGGCUACAGGGCUUGUGGGCCCCCUGUAGCUCUCCUGCCUUGGCCCUCAAGCCCACUGAUCUUCUUCCGUUCUGGAAAAAAUUAUUUCGGGGAUUUUAUUCCGUUUGGACUCCGUUCCAAAAUCAGAUCUGAAAAGAGCCAAAAACACAGAAAAAACAGGCACUGGCACUGAAUUAAUAAGUUAAUCCCAAAAAAGAUAUAAAAGGUAAACAAAACAUCCAAAGAUGACAAGAUAACAGCAUGAAACCAUCAAAAAUUAUAGAUACGUUUGAGACGUAUCAAGCAUCCCCAAGCUUAACUCUUGCUCGUCCUCGAAUAGGGAAGUGAUAAAGAAUGAAUUUUUAAUGCUUUCAUGCUACCUAGCAUAGAUGUCCUUUGUAACUCCUCUUAUGUGACGUGAAUGUUCAGAUCCAUUAGAUUCAAAACAAUAGUUUGCUAUUGACGUGGAAACAGUAAUACUUCAAGCAAACUAGCAAGGUAAUCAUAAACUUUCAAAAUAACAAGGCCAAAAGAAAGUUAUCCCUACAAAAGCAUAUAGUCUGGCUAUGCUCUAUCAUCAUUGCACAACGAAUUUAUAUCAUGUGCACAACCCCGGUAUUGGCCAAGUAAUUGUUUUCACACCUUUACUUUCUUAAAUCUUUUCAACUCUCACGCAAUACAUGAGCGUGAGCCAUGGUUUUAGCACUAUAAGUGCUAUGGAGUGUGGUGGAGGUUGCAAGACAAACAAGGAGAAGAUGAUCACAUUAACUAGGCAUAUCAAUGAGCUGUGGAGAUUCUCAUCAAUAGAUAUCAAUGUGAAUGAGUAGGGAUUGCCAUACAAAUGAUGCACUAGAGCUAAGAGUAUGUUAAAGAUCUUAAAGAAAACUAGUGGGUGUGCAUCCAACUCGCUUGCUCACGAAGACCUAAGGCAAAUUUGAGGAAGCCUAUCAUUGGAAUAUACAAGCCAAGUUAUAUAAUGAAAAUUUCCCACUAGCUAUAUGGUGGUGACAACACGAGAGACUCAAUCAUGAAGAUCAUGGUGCUUAAUAAGCACAAGUGUGGAAGGAUAGUAGCAUUGUCCCUUCUCUCUUUUUCUCUCAUCAUUUUUUUGGUGGGCUCUUUGGCCUCUUUUUUAAUUUUUUUAUUUUAUUUUUUAUUUUGGUGGGCAUCUUCAGCCUCUUUUGUAUAUGGGCUUGGCUGGCCUCUUUUAUUUCCUCACAUGGGACAAUGCUCCAUCAAUGAUGAUCAUCACACUUUCAACUCAAAACUUAGAGCAACGAUGACUCUAUAUGGAAUGCCUUCGGUAGUGUACCGUGACAAUGAUCUAGCAUGGCAUAGACAUUAAUGGAAACAUCAUGCUAGCUAUCUUACGAUCAUGCAAUGGCAACGUAGAAGUGGUGGCACAUGUCAUGGUGGUAGUUGCAUGGCAAUAUAUCUCGGAAUGACUUUGAAAAAGCCAUAGUAGAUAGGUAUGGUGGCCGUUUUGAGGGAGGCUAAUGGUGGGUUUUGUGCACUGGUGAAAGUUGCACGGCACUAAGAAGAUAGUGAUGGUGGAAGGUGAAAGUGCAUCUAAACCAUGGACUCAACAUUAGUCAUGAAGAACUCAUAUACUUGUUGCAAAAGGUUUAAUAGUAAUCGAAACAAAGCAUUCAACGCAUACUCCUAGGGGAAGGGUUUGUAGGUAUAAACCAUCGCGUGAUCCCGACCGCCAUACAAAGGAUGACAAUCAAUAGACUAAUCAUGCUCAGACUUCAUCACACAGCGGUUCACCAUACGUGCAUGCUACGGGAAUCACUAACUUCAACACAAGUAUUUCUAGAUCCACAACACCUUACUAGCAUAACUUCAAUAUUACCACAACCACAACUCAAAACUAAAUGAGAUGAAUCAAACUUCUCUAACUAAUCAAUGCACAUGAAGGUGGAAGUUUUCAUAUCCCUUUGGAUAACUACCCCUUUUGAGACUACUUUCAAAGCAUAGAUCAACUACCAAGCCACGCACCGCCGUUCUCUAAAAUAUAUAAGUGAAGCACAUAGAGCAAAAUCAACUAACUCAAAAGAUAUAAGUGAAGCACAUGUGAGCUGAAUAGUCUACCAAAGGAUAUAAGCGAAGCUCGACAAAAUCACGGUGAGUGCAUGUCUCUCUCUCUAGGUGUGCAGAAAGGAUGAUUGUGACACAACAAAAAUAAAAGACUCCCACGAUACAAGACGCUCCAAGCAAAACACAUAACAUGUGGUGAAUAAAAAUAUAGCCCCAAGUAACGUUACCGAUGGGUUGAAGACGAAAGAGGGGAUGCCUUCCCGGGGCAUCCCCAAGCUUAGGAUUUUACGGCAUCCUUGAAUCUCUUGGGGUUCCUUGGGCAUCCCCAAGCUUGAUCUCUUGCCACUCUUUAUCUCUUUGUCCAUAAGAACUUCACCCAAAACUUGAAAACUUCACAACACGAAACUUAAACAGAAACUCGUGAUAACAUUAGUAUAAGAAAGCAAACCACCACUUCCUUAGGUACUGUAGCAAACUUAAAUUCUACUUAUGUUGAUGUUGGGUUACUGUAUUUUCACUCUUUCAUGGCUAAUACCCCCGAUACUAUCCAUAGUUUCAUCAAAAUAAGCAACCAACUCAACAAAAACAGAAUCUGUUAACAGCAGACUAGUCUGUAGCAAUCUGUAUACUAUGUAUACUUAUGGUACUUAACAAAUUCUGAAAAAUUACGAAAGUCUGAAGAAUUUGCGUCGCAAUGAGCAGAAAAAAUAAUCAACUCAAAAUCUCUUACAUAAAAAAAAUGAAAAUUCGUUUCGUGAGCAGAAAGUUUCUGUCUUUUCCAGCAUGACCAAACGAUCAUCCCCAAGACUAAUCGUAACGGUUUUACUUGGCACAAACGCAAAAAGAAACACAAAAAACACAAUCAUAACAGAAUUAUGAAAGUGUGGAAAACACAAAACAGAAAGAAAAAGGAUAGAUUCGUUGGGUUGCCUCCCAACAAGCGCUUUUGUUUAACGCCCUUAGCUAGGCAAAAGGUGAUGGAAUCACGUAUAGUCAUCUUUGCUGUUCAAACCAUAAGUAACCCUCAUCAUAGAUUCAUAAGGCAAUCUUAUUUUCUUUCUAGGAAAGUGCUCCAUGCCCUUCUUUAGAGGAAAUUGAACUCUAAUAUUCCCUUCCUUCAUAUCGAUGAUAGCACCAAUAGUCCUUAGGAAAGGUCUACCAAGAAUAACGGGACAUGAAGGAUUGUAGUCUAUGUCAAGUACAAUGAAAUCCAUGGGUACAUAGUUCUUAUUUGCAAUAAUAAGAACAUCAUCGAUCCUUCCCAUGGGUUUCUUGACAGUAGAAUCCGCAAGAUGCAAAUUAAGAGAACACUCUUCAAUCUCAUGAAAACCAAGAAUAUCACAUAAAGACUUUGGAAUCGCGGAAACACUAGCACCCAAAUCACACAAAGCAUUACACUCAUAGGUUUUGAUUUUGAUUUUGAUAGUAGGUUCCCACUCAUCAUGAAUUUUUCUAGGUAUAGAGACUUCUAGUUCGAGCUUCUCUUCAAGAGAUUUCAUCAUAGCAUCUACGAUAUGCGCGGUAAAGGCUUAGCUUUGGCUAUAAGCAUGUGGAGAGUUUGCAAUGGAUUGCAUCAAAGAAAUGCAUUCAAACAAUGAGAAAUUAGCAUAAUUGAAUUCCUUGAAAUCCAAAGUGGGAGUUUCAUUACUACCCAAAAUUUUGAUUUCUUCUACUCCACUCUCCACACCCUUAUCAUCAAGAUGGGUGGACUCCGAAUCAUUGGGGCGUUUUUCGAGCAAAGUGGAUUCAUAUCCAGCCCCUUCAUCAAUAGGUUUGACACGCGAAAACAAAGAUUCAAUAGGAGUCACACCAAGCAUUUUAAGAUCUUCGUGAUUUGCAUCACUAGAACGCACCCUUUUAAACCAUUCAUGCCUAGCGCGAAUUUGGGCGGUUCUUUCUUUGCUCUCAUUCAUGGAGACGUGCAUAGAUUUUAAAGUUUCAUCCAAUUUGACCUUGGGAGGAGCACAUCUAACUUUCAAAGCAUCAAUAUCACAAGACAUCCUAUCAACGCUCUUAGCCAAAUCGUCUAUUUUGAGUAGUUUUUCCUCUAUGGACGCAUGGAAAAUCUUUUGAGAGUUGAUGAACUCUUUGAUAUUACUCUCUAAAUCAGAGGGUAAUUUGUUGUGAUUUCCAUAAGUGUUGUUGUAGGAAUUGCCAUAAUUGUUAUAGGAGUUACUAGGAAAAGGCCUAGGAACAUAGUGUCCUCUAAAAGCAUUGUUGUUGCCAAAAUUGUUCCUACCAACAAAAUUAACGUCCAAACUAGUGUUGCAACUCUCAAUCAAGGAAGAUGGUGGCAUGUCAUUAGGAUCUAAAGGAGCGUUUCUACUAUCAACAAAAUUCAUCAACUCGUCCAUCUUAGCACUAAGUGAGUUAAUUUCUUCUAUAACGUGUACCUUUUUGCUAGCAGGUGACCUUUCAGUGUGCCACUGAGAGUAGUUUGUCAUGAUAUUGUCUAGGAGUUUUGUAGCGUCUCCUAACGUGAUUUCCAUGAACGUUCCACCUGAGGCGGAGUCCAAGCUAUUGCGAGAGGCAAAAUUCAAGCCAGCGUAAAAGAUUUGUAUAAUCAUCCACAAACUCAAGACAUGAGCGGGACAAUUUCUAAUCAUUAACUUCAUCCUCUCCCAAGAUUGUGCAACGUGUUCAUGAUCAAGUUGCUUGAAAUUCAUGAUAUCGUUACGUAAGGAGAUGAUCUUAGCCGGCGGAAAAUACUUGGAUAUGUAAGAAUCUUUGCACUUAUCCCAAGAAUCGAUACUAUUUUUAGGCAAAGAAGAAAACCAAGUUUUUGCACGAGCUCGCAACGAGAAAGGAAAAAAGCUUCAACUUAAUCACGUCAUUAUCCACAUCUCGUUUCUUUUGCAUAUCGCAAAGCUCAAUGAAGGUAUUGAGAUGGGAUGCAGCAUCUUCACUAGGAAGGCCAGAGAAUUGCUCUUUCGUAACAAGAUUUAGCGAAGCUGCGUUGAUUUCAUACGAUUCCGCACUAGUGGCGGGAGCAAUCGGAGUACUAAUAAAAUCAUUAUUAUUGGUACUCGAGAAGUCGCAUAGUUUGGUGUUUUCAACCAUGAUGACUUCAACAAACAAACAAGCACACAAGCAAGCAAGAAAACCGGCAAAGGAAAACGGCAAAAAGGCAAAAGGCAAAAGAAAACGACAAAGGAGAAAGGCAAAUGAAAACGGCAAAGGAGAAAGGCAAAUGAAAACGGCAAAUGUGAAGUGGGGGAGAGGAAAACGAGAGGCAACUUACAAAAAAGUAAAUGCAAGAGAUGAGUUUGUGAGACCUACUUGGAUAGAUAUCUCCUUCCCCUGCAACGGCGCCAGAAAUACUUCUGCUACUGCAAAAAAAGACCUUCCAACGGCGCGAGAAACACGUGCUGACGGGAGACUAUUCUUGUCUUGAUACUCCUCGGCAACGACACCAGGAAUCCUUCUGCUACGGCUACGCCUUUAGGGACUUCCUUGGCAAAUAUGCAAAGGAUUCCCCCGUGGCCUUGGAGCCUUGCGUUGGUGUUCCCUCGAAGCGGAAAGGGUGAUGUAGCACGGCGGCGGUAAGUAUUUCCCUCAGUUUUGAGAACCAAGGUAUCGAUCCAGUGAAGGAUUAUCACAAGUACCUGCACAAACACAAAGAGCUUGCAUCCAACGCUAUGAAGGGGUUGUCAAUCCCUUAUAGAUUGUUUGCCAAGUGAGAACUAAAAGCAACAAAGUAACAAAGCAAAGUAAAAGCAAAAGUGGAAACGAUAGGUGUGAAUAGACCCGGGGGCCGUAGUGUUCACUAGUGGCUUCUCUCAUGAAAGCAAGUAGACGGUGGGUGAACAAAUUACUGUCGAGCAAUUGAUAGAACUGCGCAAAGUUGUGAUGAUAUCUAUGCAAUGAUUAUUUCUUUAGUCAUCACGUCCAAAACAAGUAGACCGAUACUGUGUGCAUCUACUACUAUUACUCCACACGUCGACCGCUAUCCAGCAUGCAUCUAGUGUAUUAAGUCCACAAGAACAGAGUAACUCCUUAAGCAAGAUGACAUGAUGUAGAGGGAUAAUCUCAAACCAAUGAUGAAAACCCCAUCUUUUUACCCUUGAUGGCAACUACUUGAUGUGUGCCUUGCUGCCCCUACUGUCACUGGGAAAGGUCACCACAUGGCAGAACCCAAAACCAAGCACUUCUCCCAUUGCAAGAAUCAUAGAUCCAGAUGGGCAAACAAAACCCAAGGCUCGGAGAGACUUACAAGGAUAUCAAAUCAUGCAUAUAAUAAAUCAGCAAAGACUCAAAUGUAUAUCAUAGAUAAUCUGAUCACAAAUCCACAAUUCAUCGGAUCUCGACAAACACACCGCCAAAGAGGAUUCCAUCGGAUAGAUCUCCAUGAAGAUCAUGGAGAACUUUGUAUUGAAGAUCCAAGAGAGAGAAGAACCAUCUACCUACUAACUACGGACCCGUAGGUCUGAAGUGAACUACUCACGAGUCAUUGGAGGGGCGAUGAUGUUGAUCUAGAAGCCCUCCAACUCCAAAGUCCCCUCCGGCAGGGCACCGAGUAGGGUCUCCAGAUGAGAUAUCGCGGAAACGGAAGCUUGCGGCGGCGGAAAAGUGUUUUCGUGGGUUCCCCUAUUUUUUUCUAUUUUAGGGAAUAUAUAGGCGAAGGAGCUAGGUCAGGGGGGCGCCAGGGAGGCCACAAGCCUGGUAGCCGCCGCCCCCGUGGUGGUGGCUACAGGGCUUGUGGGCCCCCUGUAGCUCUCGUGCCUUGGCCAUCAAGCCCCCUGAUCUUCUUCCGUUCUGGAAAAAUUUAUUUCGGGGAUUUUAUUCCGUUUGGACUCCGUUCCAAAAUCAGAUCUGAAAAGAGCCAAAAACGCAGAAAAAACAGGAACUGACACUUGGCACUGAAUUAAUAAGUUAGUCCCAAAAAAGAUAUAAAAGGUAAACAAAACAUCCAAAGAUGACAAGAUAAUAGCAUCAAAACCAUCAAAAAUUAUACAUACGUUUGAGACGUAUCAGUCAUCAGUCGCCGGAUCCCACGUACAGGUUCAUUGGAGUGGCGUUGCAGCGCCUCUAACUGUAUCCACGCGCGCAAGAGAGACACUGUGCGGCGGACUGCUAGGUCUGGAUCACACAGUUGGCGGUGGCGAGUGGAGGUGGCUAGGUGCAACACAUGCACAACCCUAAUGACGGCGACGAAGUAAUCAUCUCAAUAAGAGUGUCGCAUGUCCACUAUAUAUAGGCGCCCGGCGCAGGCCGAACUCUUGGGCCUCGCACGGACCCUAAAUCCCACGUGUUCCUUACUUUAAGCUCGCGACCCCUUAGGUUCUUGUUCACUUGGUCGCGAGUCAGACCACGUCUGACUUGGCUUGUCGGUAGCGGCCUCUAGCAAGGCGUGUCAUCUCCAAGUGUCCGAAGAAGCUGGUUAGGCGAACCUGUACUUCAUACUUUUGUUCCCUUUGCCACACGUUAUACGUUGUCAUGCUCAAGGCGACAUGGUCAUCCUUGUUGUCGCACAACCUCUUUCUCGUUUCGGUGAAUCUCACCAACAUUUGUAUUAUCUCAUAAGCCUCAUCGCAUAGUCAUGCUUAUCGAGGUCAGAUCACCCGAGGGGCCCAGAGUAUAUCUCUCCUGGUCGGAGGGGCAAAUCCCAUCUUGCUCAACCACGUCUCGCAGGAUGGGUUUGGACAAGCCCGAAACCUACCUUUGUAACUACCCAGUCACGGAGUAGCGUUUGUGAAAGUGCAGUCAUGCCCUUAAUCGAGUUUUGGUGUUAAUGACAACACAUACAUAGGAAACUAAUCUUAUUUGUUGAGUGUAUCUCACGAUGGCUUUUAAAGUACUCUUAGUAGAUCGAGAAUUAUGUGCCAAGGUGGCUUGAGAAGAUCGGGACUUAUAUGUCAAGAAGGCUCGAGAUUGAGAAAAGAUAUGUAGCCUAUCCUUUAAUUUACUAUUCUUGAGUAUAGGGAUCCCGCACUAUUAAGAGGGGAUCACAGGUUUUGCGAUGAACUUUCUCAAACUACAUCUCUACUUUUCUGCUCAUACCACAUCUCCAUUGCUCUGCUUUGAUCUCAAAACAGAACCAAUGCCUCGGACAUCCGGCUUCCUCCGGACGUCCGAGGGCCGGACGCCCGACCACUUCGGAAAUCCGAAACCUUAUACUAGAGUCAAAGUCUCGGACAUCCGGCUCCCUCCGGACGUCCGAGGGCCGGACGCCCGACCACUUCGGAAAACAGGAACCUUGCACCAGAGUCAAACAACACGGACUUCCGGCCUCCUCCUGUCGUCCGAGGGCCGGACGUCCGACCACUUUCAGAAAUCCGAUUCCCUUGAACACAGCUGAAAUCUCGGACAUCCGACCUUCUCUUCGGACGUCCGGUCCCUGUUUGACUACACAGUGGCAAACUGAUAUGAACACUCCUUUGGUCGUCCGACGCGUGUCGGACGUCCGGAAACCGUCGGACGUCCGACCACUGUCAGACUUAAGUGACCCCAACGGUUAUUUUAGUCUCCCCACUAUAUAUACCCCCUCCCACUUCGUGAGAGGGGGUCCAACACAGCAAGAGCACUUACAAAUACACCUUCUUCCUCACUCACUCUUGCCCACACCCAAUCUUAUAUCCCAAGAGCAUUUGUGAGCCCCUUUGAGUGUUGUUCCUAUCAAAAGAUAGUUCGUCUCCUUCUCCUCCUCUCCACCAAAGCGAUUUGUGAUUUGAGCAAGUUUUAAGCAAUCCCCCUGAUCUUGUUACUCUUGGAGGUUGGAGACUCCUAGGCGGUAGGAGUCUUCGGAGAGGAAUCAAACCUUUGUGAUUACCCCCGAAAAGUUUGUGAAGGUUUGGAAGCCACCUCAAGGCUUACCACUAGUGGUUGAGAAACGCCUUCGUGGUGUUGUCUCAAAGGGAGAAUAGGUUGAGCCUUCGUGGCGUUGGUGUGCCUUCGUGGUAACAUCCGCCCCUCUAACGGUGACGUAGCUUCCCUCCAAGGAAGUGAACACCGGGAUACAUCCUCGUCUCUCUUGGAGUUUUGGUUAUCCCUAACCCUAACUCUCUACUUGUGUUAAUCCUUAUUACAUACAUGCAUUUGAUUAUAGUUUACCGGUUGCCUUACUUUACUCUAAAUAGCUUACUCUUUGGCUUUGCAAUUAUUAGGCUUACUCUCAUAUUCCGCACAAUUGCCUAAAAUUGCUAAGUAACUAUUAAAAUUUGGAACUGUACCUAUUCACCCCCCCCCCUCUAGGUCCAUCUCGAUCCUUUUCAAUUGGUAUCAAAGCCUCGUGCUCUAUUCUUGUGGCUUAACUGCCCUAGAGCGAGAUGGACGGGACUCCCAUUACUGUAGCUCCAGUGGAGAAGGACGGGACUUCCACGGAAGUCAGGUCCUUCACCUCUGAGGACCUGGAACGUGCCCUUGCCAAGCAAAAAGAGGAGCAUGAUGCUUCUCUUGAGGCCUUGGUCCAAAUGAGACUGGCCUCAUUAACCACGGGGACAUCCACGUCUCCGAGGGCCUCAGGGCAAAAUGUGCCCAGUUCUUUAUUUGGCCAACAACCUCUAGGCAAUAACCAAACCAGUGUUCCAUGGCUUUAUGCUAGAUCUCAAGUUGAGAAACCUAAGUACAAUCCUGGAGGAAAACCUCCUUUGCUUGAUGAUAAUUCCGAUUUUGCUUUAUGGAGAGUUGGUAUGCAGGAUCAUCUUAGGUACGCCAAUGAUGAGAUGUUGGACAUCCUCGAGCAUGGCUACCACCCUAUAGAUCCAAGGUGCCUCACUCCCAGAGAAACUUAUGACAAGCAUCUCAAUGACACUACGAUCAUGUGCAUAAGAAAAGGGAUGAAUGACAAGCAACGGAGACCUUACAUACACAUCACAAGCACCAAGGAACUAUGGGAUAGCAUUAUAAGGACCAAGACCGGUACCUCCACUCUUCGGCUUGCUCAAUAUGAAAUUGCCAAGGGGCAAUUGCAGAACUUCUGUAUGGAAAAGGGUGAAUCUCCCAAGCAACUGCUAGAACGGCUCAUGACUCUCGCCGCAGACAUUGAGUCCUGUGACUGUGACAAGACGCAAGAUGGUUUCAACCUGACCAAGUGAUUUCUCAUGGACAAGUUACUUCAUGCCCUUGCUCCGUACCACCAUCAAAUGGUAUGGGACAUAAGGCAGCACCAUGGGUUCAAAGAAAUGGCCCCAGAUGACAUCAUAUCCACUUUCUAAUUAUUUGAAGAGUCAAAGGCAAAUGCAACAAAGCACCUUGCCAUGCAUGGUACUUCAAUAUCAAAGAUCAAUCUUGCUUUGAAAGCCAAGCAUGAAUGUGACGAAGAAGAAAGUGAAGAAGAAGAGGGUGAUGAAGACUGCGAAGAUGGUGAUGAUGCUGACUCUGAUGAAAGCCCAUCUUAUGAGGACAUUGCUCUCUUUGUAAAGAAGUCUGGUGCAGGAAAAUUCAAGGGAAGAUUCCCAAAGAAGAAAGUAAGAAAAUGCUAUAACUGUGAGAAAACCAACCACUUCUCAAAUGACUGCCCUUAUGAGAAGAGAGAAGAUAAACCAAGGUUUCCGAAGACCUUCGUAAAGAAGAAAUUGCCAAACCUUAUGAACUCCAAGCUCAAGGGAAGAGAUGGAAGAGCAAUGGUUACACAAGAAGAAUCAGAUCCAGGAGACGUUGGUGGGGUUGCCGGAGUAGCUCAGGAUACACAAAACACCUUGAGGCUCGUCAACAAAAGUGGCGAUGUUGUUCACUACAACUAUAUGAAAGACUACAAGGGCAACGCCCACAAGUGUUUGAUGGCAAAGACUGUCAUAGAAGAUGAGGAAGACCAAAGCUCCCAUGAUAAGGUUAAGGUAACUCCACAGUUGAACUCUUUCAGUCUAGUUUCUACCUCAUCUGAUGAGUACCUUGAUGUGGAGGAUCACUAUGAGGACAAUGACUUAGAUCAUCCUAUGUUUGCCAAAAUAAACAAAUUUAUGUGCUCUCUUAAAGGAAAGAAGCUCACUAUGUUUCGCAUACUUAUGGAAAUGGUGAGUAAGCACACCAAUACCAUCAAGGAACUCGAAACCCUCUUCACUGAGGAGAAGGAAAGGAAUGAAAUCCUUGAGCAGAAAGUCAUGUAUGAGGAAGCACAAAAUGAUGCAUUAUGCUCAAAAGUUGGUGAAAACCUUGAUAAACAUGCUAACGAUCUUGCAUCCUUGAAAAAGGUUGAAUAUGUGUGCAAAGGGUUAUUAAAUGAUAAAAACAGACUUUUGAAUUCUCAUGCUUCUCUCUCUAAGGACUGUGAGCGCCUAUCCUUGUCUCUCAAGGACAAGGAAGAGAAACUCACUGUUCUUACAAAGAGCUUUGAGGCACUCAAGGUUACUUACCUUGACACUCUAGCUAAGGCUUACUCCUGACCUAUUAUUAAUGUUGAUACCUGCACUGCUAACUCUAGUAGUGAACUGGCAUCUAUUCUUGAGGAAAAUUGUUCGCUAAAGGCACAGCUAGAUAGAGGUCUCAUGACAUGCGCACAAGGGCAAAAGACUCUCAAUGAGAUCUUAAGUCAACACAAUGAGGUCUUUGCCACGGAAGGGCUUGGGUUUAAUCCAAGCACCACCAAGAAAAGUGUAUCUCCUCUCAAGUGCACCACCCCUCUUAAAGAAACAUUUGUACGAGAGGGACACAAGGAGAAAGGUAAGGUUGUGAGUGGGUCGGACACUAGGGGUUUGCCCACUCUCAACAAGACAACAGAGUUCAUGCCUCCAUCCUAUGUACUUCGCAAAUCAAAGGAAGGAGAGGUUUAUGCUAAAUUCGUUGGUCCCCGUAAUGCAUUCCGGUUUUAUGCUAUUUGGGUCCCUAAGACUCUUGUAACUAAUGUGAGAGGCCCCAUGAUGAAAUGGGCACCUCAAACCAAGUCUUAAUUCGUGUACAGGCUGUUUUCUCUGGAGGAGUCAAAUGGGUGAUCGACAGUGGAUACACCAAUCAUAUGACCGGAGAUAGUAACUUGCUCUACGACUUCAUGCAAGCCAUUCGACCAUACAUGAGCAUUGUAUUUGGUGGAGGGUCGAAAGGGCAGGUAAUUGGGUUGGGCAAGGUGGCAAUCACUAAUGACAUGUCUAUUGCAAAUGUCAUGCUUGUCCAAUCUCUUCAAUAUCAUUUACUUUCAGUUCGCCAAUUGGCUUCCGUUGGUUAUGACACAUUAUUCGGACUAACGGAUGUGAAAGUCUUUAAGAGAGACACUCUCGAAGUGGCCUUUGUUGGAGAGUUGGAUGGCAACCUUUACACGGUUGAUUUCUCGAAAGAGAGCACUUUCCAUACAACUUGUCUAAUGGCCAAGGCCGACAUGGGAUGGUUGUGGCAUCGCCGGCUCGCCCAUGUAGGCAUGAGAAAUCUUCAAAAUCUCUUAAAAGGCAAUCACAUCCUUGAAUUAACUAAUGUAUAUUUUAAGAAAGAUCGUGUAUGCACUGCAUGCAUAGCUGGGAAGCAACAUCAAUCAAAACACCCACUCAAGAAUAUUGUAUCCACCUCAAGGCCUUUAGAGCUCCUUCAUGUGGAUCUGUUUGGGCCUCCUUCAUGGGCAAGUCUUGGUGGGAAAAAGUAUGGACUAGUCAUUGUUGAUGAUUACUCAAGAUACACAUGGGUAUUCUUUCUCAAGUCCAAGGACGAGACGAAGAUCACCUUCAUUGAUUUUGCCAAACAAGUCCGGCGCAAGUUUGACAAGGCCAUCAAGGCAAUAAGAAGUGAUAAUGGCUCUGAGUUCAAGAAUUACACCCUAGAAGAAUUUCUUAGUGAUGAGGGAAUUGAACAUCAAUACUCCGCACCUUACACCCCUCAGCAAAAUGGUGUAGCAGAGACGAAGAACCGGACACUUGUGGAAAUGGCAAGGUCCAUGUUAGACGAAUACAAGUCACCACAUAGUUUUUGGGCUGAGGCUGUCAACACAUCAUGUCAUGCAUCAAACCGGCUUUUCCUUCGACCAAUAUUGGAAAAGAGUCCAUAUGAGCUCCUAACCGGGAACAAGCCCAAUGUCAAGUACUUUCGUGUAUUUGGAUGCAAGUGUUUCAUCCCCAACAAACGGGACGAGUUAGGAAAAUUUCAAUCCAAAACAACUGAAGGGAUUUUUGUUGGCUAUGGAUCAAACUCUCACGCCUACAGAGUCUACAACAAAUCCAAUGGAUGUGUUAUAGAAACCUAUGACGUGACAUUUGAUGAAUUUAACCGCUCCCAUGGGGAGCAAGUUGAUCUAAGUGAUGCAGGUGAAGAAGAUUCCUCGCAAGAUAUCUUGAACAUGGGUGUAGGUGCACUUCUUCCCAUGGAACAAGAACCCCAUGAUGAUGAUGAAGAUGAUGAGAGUAUUUCUCAUCCUCAAGAUAGUUCACUGCCCGUACCUCCACAAGAUACUAGCACACAUAUCAUGUAAGUUGUUCAGGAUCAAGUGGGAGAACAUGUCUCUCACCCUGAUCACACUCAAGAACAAGUUGACCUUCAAGAGCUCGACCAAAGUAUGGAUAUGGUUGAUGAUGAACCUCAACAGGUGCAACGCGAAGAGGAAUAUCUUCCACCGCACGUUAAUGAUCCAUAUGUUGAGGACGUUGACGAUGGAAACAAAGUCGAACCUCGUGAAACCCUGACCUCCGUCAUCCCACGUGUGGCCAGUCGUGUUGAUGUUGAUCAAAUCCUCACCGGCGUGUCGGAAGGUAGAGUGAGUCGUAAACAAUUAACAAACUUUUGUGCUCACUUUUCGUUUGUCUCUAGUACUGUGCCACACACGGUUCAGGAUGCAUUGUGUGACAAUGACUGGCUCCUUGCUAUGCAAGAAGAGUUAAACAGUUUUACACGCAACGAAGUAUGGUCAUUGGUAGAACGACCAACUGAGGAACACAGUGUCAUUGGAACUAAAUGGAUCUUCAAGAACAAGGAAGAUGAGAAUGGGGUUGUCCUCCGUAACAAGGCAAGGUUAGUAGCACAGGGGUACUCCCAAGUUGAAGGUUUGGACUUUGGUGAGACUUUCGCCCCUGUUGCUCGUCUUGAAUCCAUUCACAUUCUAUUGGCCUAUGCUGCUUUCAAUGGUUUUACUUUGCAUCAAAUGGAUGUGAAAAGUGCUUUCCUUAAUGGUCCUCUACAAGAAGAGGUAUAUGUAUCACAACCACCUGGGUUUGUUGACCCCAAUCACAAAGACCAUGUGUACAAACUUCACAAGGCUCUGUAUGGCCUCAAACAAGCACCAUGUGCUUGGUACGAUCAUCUUAAGAAGUUCUUACUCGAUGAUGGCUUUGUGAGAGGGGGUGAUCGAUCCCACUCUUUUUACUAAGAGGGAAAACGGUGAUUUGAUCUUAUGCAAAAUCUAUGUAGAUGACAUCAUUUUUGGUUCUCCUAACAUCCAUUUAUGCAAGAAGUUUGCGGCCUCCAUGACCAAGACCUUUGAGAUGUCACUCAACACGGACUUGAAGUUCUUUCUUGGGUUUCAAAUACAACAAUUUCAAGAAGGAAUUUUCUUGUCUCAAACUAAAUACCUCAAGGACAUUCUAGAAAAAUUUGAUAUGACAAAUGCUAAACCAAUGAAGACACCCAUGGCCGCAGAUGUUGUUCUAAAUGAAGACACCAACGGUAUUCCUUUUGACCCUUCUACUUACCGCUCUAUGAUUGGUUCGUUGCUUUAUCUUUGUGCAUCUAGACCGGACAUCAUGUUAAGUGUAGGCAUAUGUGCUAGAUUUCAAGCUUCCCCUAGGGAAAGCCAUCAUACAGCGGUUAAGCAUAUUCUUAGAUACCUUGUUCCCACCCCAAAGUUAGGCCUAUGGUACCCUAAGGAUGCAAAGUUCGAUCUCAUUGGGUACUCGGAUGUGGAUUGGGCUGGUGACAAAGUGGGAUGGAAAUCCACUUCCGGUGCAUGUCAGUUUCUUGGACGUUCCUUGGUAAGUUGUUCCUCGAAAAAGCAGAAUUGUGUUUCUCUCUCCACAGCCGAGGCCGAAUAUAUUACAGCCGCAAGCUGUGCAACCCAACUGCUAUGGAUGAGGCAAACCCUAAAGGAUUAUGGCAUCACUUAUCGACACGUGCCUCUUCUCUGUGAUAAUGAAAGUGCCAUCAAGAUCUCCGAGAACCCCAUUGAUCACCCUCGCACAAAACACAUUGAUAUUAGGUAUCAUUUCUUGAGAGACCAUGUGCAGAAGGGUGACAUUGAUAUUGCUCAUGUGGGUACCGACAUGCAGCUCGCUGACAUCUUCACCAAGCCACUAUGCGUAGCAAGAUUUUGUCAACUUAGGCGUGAACUUGGUAACUUGGAGCUUGAUAACAUAACUUGAAAUGAUGUACACAUGCACACACUCACAUUAUGUUCUUGUCUUGAUGUCGGCAUGCAUUUAGGGGGAGACACUAGCACUCAUGUCAUAAUUUUUGUUUUAACUCUAUAAUAUGCAUAAAUCAACUACCUUCCACAAGUAGUAUAUAUAGUUCUUAUAGGCAACACUGUUGGGUGUCCCUUGUGAUAAACCAUGUCAAAUCACCUCAUCAUCAAGAUCCCAGAAAUUGCCUCUCCCUACUUCCCUCUCGGACGUCCGACGCGUCUCGGACGUCCGACAGUUGACACACUCCAGACGUCCGGCACCUGUCGGUCGUCCGACGGCUGAUGCCCUCCGGACGUCCGACGCCCGUCGAACGUCCGACACAUCGGGAGCCUCUAUAAAUAGAGGGGUGCGGGCUGGGCCUUGCCCUAGCCCCCACGCACCCCCCUUUUCCCCUCUCCCUCCACAGCCGCUGCCAGCCGCCUGAGGAGAUCUACCUUGCGAUCUCGCCGCCACAGGGGCCCUGCCCCGCGAUCUGCUUGUCCUCCUCCGCGGGAUCCUUCUUCCAUCCCUCUCUUCUCUCGAUCUCGCCGCCACAGGGGCCCUGACCCAAGGAGACUAUGCCGAAGCCGGGGACUCGCAGGCCCUCGUAUAUCCCACCGCCGCCUCCUGAACAGCCAGCAGGUGAUGCUCGACGUAUCUCCUUAGAGCCUCCUCCCUCCUUGGGUCGUGAAGUCACGGACUUCACCAAAAAACCCAAAUCCACCUAUUUUACUUUCCGUAGAGAUGUCAACCACUUCGAUGUUGAACGUGAUUCUCUGGAUUCACGGUUUUGCACAAAUGUCCAAGCGGACAUUUUCUCUACAGUCAUAGUUCCUAAAGGUAUAUCAGUUCAUCAUUGCAUUGAUCUUGAGCACAUCCGCACUCACCCGACGAAAUACCCGGGUGCCAUUGAGCUCCUUGAGUCCUCGGGGCUAGCUGCUCCCCUUGCCUUUAAGUGCAAUUUUAACAGUGGCGCCAUCCACCAAUUCUAUGCCACCUGUUACUUUCAUUCUGAUGACUCUGUUAGCUGGAUGACCUCUGAUACGGAGUUUAGGGCCACUUAUGCGGAGUUUGUUGCCGCUUUGGGUUUUCCCGACACCGGUUUCAAAAUUCACAAAAGUGACCCUAACCAUGCUCCCAAAUCCAUUGCGGCAUGUGGUUCUCUUCUCAAACCACACCAUGAUCUUGAUGCUGAUGAAAAACAGAAAGAUCUUAACCAAGUGUCUAUCUGGCGGUCUCCAUACUUUAUCAUUUUUCAAUGCCUUAUCCACACCAUCUACCCCAAGAUGGGUGACAGGGGAACCUGCAGCGGCUACUUCAUUUAUAUCAUGUCACACUUGCAUGAUUUUCCCAAGCGCAAGCUAAAUGUGCCUCAUUUUUUGUGGCAUGAGAUUCGGCUUGCUAGUCUUCAAUACAAGCGAGCCUUCCCUCGUGCCCCCUUCAUCCAGGCUUUCAUCAAAUUUAUUGCUGCUUUCCCGCUUGCUCCUACUCACACGCACCACAAGUGGGUCAUCCCCACUCAUAUGGCGGAUGACUAUGCUCCUAGGAAAACCCCAUCCACCUCCACUCGUCGUGCUGCUUCCCGGUCAGACACUCCUUCAUCCAGCUCUGCCCCUCUCAGUCGCUUUGCCAAAUUCAUUGGCAAAGCCCAUUCUGCCACGAUGAAGGCGUUCUCCUUCUAGUGCGCUCAGAACCACGAUGUGGUUUCGCGUUUGAUCUCCUCCAAGAAUGCCCUCAAGGCUCGUCUGAGAGACUCGGGCACUCUUGAUGUCAAUGACGAUGAGGCUAUUCCUGCUAUUCCUCCUUCUAAUUUUGGCUUCCCAUCUGGUCCUGAGUGGGCUGAUUUUCUUGACGAGGCUGGUGGCAGUGGCUUGCCUGAGGAUGAGGAUGAUGAGGAUGAUCGUGCUGAUGAUCUCUGAGCAUGGUUGAUGUUUCUGGUGCCUCCCUUUUCGGUACUUGAUGCCAAAGGGGGAGUAAUGUAUCCUAGUUUUAGUCUUUGGAGUUUUAGCUUUUGAACUCAAUUUGCAUGUUUGAAUAAUGUAAUGGAUAAACGACUGUGAUGCACUAUGUAUGGCUACCUAUGAAUGUCGUGAUUGCUAUGAUAUCAUCGUAUGUUAUUAUGUUUUGUUCUAUUACUUCAUAUGAUGAUCGGUUAACAUAUGAUGAUCUAUUAUCUCUACUAAGUCACAUGAUAUCUUCGAUACACACAUUAAGGGGGAGCUCCAUUAUUUUUACUGUGCACAUACUAAUGGGGAGCUCCGUACCAAACCACUCCAAAGCUAAAUGUAUGUUAAAUCUUUUGAGAGCUAUGUACAUGUUGUCAUCAACUACGAAAAAGGGGGAGAUUGAAAGUGCAGUCAUGCCCUUAAUCGAGUUUUGGUGUUAAUGACAACACAUACAUAGGAAACUAAUCUUAUUUGUUGAGUGUAUCUCACGAUGGCUUUUAAAGUACUCUUAGUAGAUCGAGAAUUAUGUGCCAAGGUGGCUUGAGAAGAUCGGGACUUAUAUGUCAAGAAGGCUCGGGAUUGAGAAACGAUGAUGUAGCCUAUCCUUUAAUUUACUAUUCUUGACUAUAGGGAUCCCACACUAUUAAGAGGGGGUCACAGGUUUUGCGAUGAAGUUGCUCAUACUACAUCUCUACUUUUCUGCUCAUACCACAUCUCCACUGCUCUGCUUUGAUCUCAAAACAGAACCAAUGCCUCGGACAUCCGGCUUCCUCCGGACAUCCGAGGAGCGGACGCCCGACCACUUCGGAAAUCCAGAACCUUAUACGAGAUCCAAAGUCUCGGACAUCCGGCUCCCUCCGGAUGUCCGAGGGCCGCACGCCCGACCACUUCGGAAAACCGGAAUCUUGCACCAGGGUCAAAUAACUCGGACUUCCGGCCUCCUCCUGUCGUCCGAGGGCCGGACGUCCGACCACUUUUGGAAAUCCGGUGCCCUUGAACAGAGCUAAACUCUCGGACAUCCGACCUUCUCUUCGGACGUCCGAUCCCUGUUUGACUACACAGUGGCAAACUGAUAUGAACACUCCUUCGGUCGUCCGACGCCUGUCGGACGUCCGGAAACCGUCGGACGUCUGACCACUGUCAGACUUAAGUGACCCCAACAGUUAUUUUAGUUUCCCCACUAUAUAUACCCCCUCUCACUUCGUGAGAGGGGGUCCAACACAGCAAGAACACUUACAAAUACACCUUCUUCCUCACUCACUCUUGCCCACACCUAAUCUUAGACCCCAAGAGCAUUUGUGAGCCCCUUUGAGUGUUGUUCCAAUCAAAAGAUAGAUCGUCUCCUUCUCCUCCUCUCCGCCAAAGCGAUUUGUGAUUUGAGCAAGUUUUGAGCAAUUCCCUUGAUCUUGUUACUCUUNUAUUCCCCCCCCCCCCCUCUAGGUCCAUCUCGAUCCUUUUUAGUUUGGUCGGCCAAAAGCAAGUCUGUCACCAUCCCGAGUACAUGCGACAACUCAGGUCUUAGGACAUAGAACGUAUGUUGUACUAGAGACUCAAAAAUGACCUAUCACUGCGUCUCGUAGUUGGGUAUGUCCAACUUAGACCUUAUCUCGACUCGGAUCCGACUAUGUCGAAUCUGAGCAGAUCUUUCUGAGUGCAUAUUAUCUGGCUAGCAUCCAUUGGUACAUGAUUAGUGAGACCGGACCAUCCACCAUAUCAUAUGCUAGUCUAGUUGGCUGCGCGUCCACACAACUCUUUCGACUAGGGACCAUUUAGGACAGUCAUCAUACAAUGUAUAGUCUCACAAACAAGUCACAUACUUGUUAAUACACAUCAUUAAUAAUGUCCAAGGACUAUCUUUAUUCAUAAACACAUAGGAAAUACUAUCAUACAUAAUUGCCUUUAGGGCAUAUCUCCAACAUCUAUAACUAGCUAUGUUGACCCGGGUUCUCUGGUGUAUGAUUGCUAGCGACAUAAUCAUAUACGUGAGCCAAAAGAUGCAAACGGUCCCGACCAAGGUAAGGUGGAAGCCAUGGUGAUUACCGUGCGUGAGGUCGUAAAGCGAUGUGAUAUGUUACAAGUUGGAUUCAUAUGACUUAGGAUCGGGGUCCCGACAAAGGGUAAUUAACGUCUCCUUUUUUAUAGAGCAUAGAACAAAGCAUUAACAUAUAGUGAAUACAUGAACUCCUCUUACUACAAUCAUCAUUGGAGGGGUCCCAGUUAUUGUCACUUUGGGGUCUACGGAUCAUGACACAUAAUAGGUGCAUACAACUUGAAAGAUAGGAUCCAGAACACUCUUAUAUUCAUGGGAACAUAAUAGAUUUAGAUCUGAAAUCAUGUCAUCUGGGCCCUAGUGACAAGCAUUAAGCAUAACAAAGUCAUAGCAACAUCAAUGUCACAACAUAAUGGAUACUAGGGAUCAAGCCCUAACAAAUUGACUCGAUUACAUGACAAAUCUCAUCCAUCUCCAUCACCAUCCAGCAAGUCAACGAAGGAAUUAUUCACUCCCGUUGGUGUGCAUAAUGGGAUUGUUGACGGAGAAGGGUUGUUGAUGACAUUGGCACCGAAUCACCCUCCAUGGAGCCCCAACCGGACUCGAGGUCAGUCCUCCCGGUGAAGAACAGGAGGUGGUGGCAGCUCUGUAUCAUAAAACAUGACGAAACUUUCUCCUCUAUUCUUUAUCUCCACGAGACAUCACUUAUAUGAUUGAAGGCAGAGCAAAUGAAGGCUCCACGGGCCCACAAACUCACGUGACGUGCCCUAGGGGGAGGGCGCCACCUGAGCUUGCGGAUCUGUGGUGGCCCCCCUCUAGUAGAUCUUUUCACCAUUUUUAUCAAUUUCAGAAGAAAUCUUCGUAAAUUUUCAUGUGAUUUCGAGAACUUCAUUUUUAUUCACAAAAAUGACACAAAGGUAGUUCUCAUGAAAAUAAUUUUAGUGUGGGUUAGUGUGACAGCCCGAGACCGACGCCCUAGAAGAUUCCCCUUUUAGUCCGUUUUCGUCGGGUGAUUAUUUUGAUUUGUCGCAUCAUCAUCGCAUCAUCCGCAUUGCAUCAGCAUCCCGUUGUCGCCAGUUUUCAAAACUUGCAUCCUUUGUUAGUUGCCGGUUCUCGUCGUCGCCCGUUUUGAAACCGACCGCAAUCACCCGCGCCCGCGGCAUCGUCAAAAUCUUGUUUUAAAAGUGUGUGUAAAACUUUCUCUGAUUGGGUUUGAACUUGACGUGCGGUCUUAUUUUAAUAUAGGUAGGCCGCCUGUCAAAUUUCGUCGCAAUCGGAGUCCGUCUGGUACCCGAACGGUCGACCGUAGCGGCACCGUAUUCGGUCUAUCGUCAGACGUUUUAUAGGUGUUUUAAAAUCACGUUGCCGCGCCACACCAUUUCCCUCUCUUCCCCGGCUAGCCUACUCUACACGGUCACUUAGCCGACCCCGCGUUCGAGUUUGUUCGAUUUCGAUCGCGUGAGCGAAAACGGGGCCGGAUUCGGACAACCCUAGCUCUGUGUCUAUAAAUAGACAACCUCCCCUUCCUAAUCUAACCCUAACCCUAGUCCACCUCGGAAUCCGAGCCCCCCCACCAAACCCUAGCCGCCACUGCCUCUCACUCUCCCACCUCCAGCCGCUGAGCCGCACGACCCAGAUCAGGCCCGCCCGGACCCGAAUAAGCCACCAACCCCGCCGGCUCCCCUGAGCUCCUCUCGCUCCGUGUGGAGCCGCGCCGCCAUGCCCGUCCCCAUGCCCAUGCCCCGCCGCCAGCUCCUCGCCGCCGGAUGCGCCGCAGCAGCUCGCCCCGUCGCCCCGGUUCGCAGCUGCCUCCCUACCCUGCAGCCCCGAGCCGCGGAUCCCAACCACCAUGGUCGCCGCCCACUGCUUCGACCUCCGGCUCGUCAGCACCCCGAUAUGAUCGAGGAUCACACCCCAGCGCCCUCCCGUGGUCGGAUCAGGCCGGAACCGCCGCCUCAACGCGUCCUUGCCCCGCCGGAGACCCUGUAGGGAAGCGUCGCCGCCUCCCUCGCUUGUUGGAGCCCUCGCGCUCGAGGAGCCGCCUCCGCGCGUCGGGCCGCCAGCGCUCGCCCCCCCCCCACACACACACAUGGCCUAGGUCGAGCGCCUCGCCCCGGCCCAGUUGCACGCGCCAGCCCACCAGCCUCCACCACCCUCCGGCCCAACUGCCACGCGCCCUCGGCCUGCCUCCCCAUCGAACCAGACCGGCCCAUGGUGAGCAGCUCCCGCCCAAGCCGCUAUUCUUCGCCCCGGGCGAGAGAUAGUUAUUUCACGCCCUCAGUUUCGGCCCGUAGUAUUUUAGGAUUUAAUUUAUAUUCCAGAAAAAUGCUAGUUAUUAAAAUGGCCGUAAUUAUUAAACCGUAUGUCGGAUCGAGGCGAGUCAUAUAUGGAAAUCGUGUAAUUUUCCGCGUAGAUUAAUAAUUUGCAACUUGCAUGCAUGUUUGAAAUGAUUUGGCUUGCCAUAUGCCUAGUUUUGUGUGGUGUCCCAAUAGGGGAUUGCCCCGUAUUUAUUUUUGUGCGUGUCCGGAUUGCUCAAACUCCUAGAUAAAAUGCUCAUGCUUUUAGGGACCCUUUGCCAUGUAUUUUAGAGUGGUUGUUGGUAUUUUUGCAUGUAGGAUUCUGUCGCUGGUUUACUAUACCGCGUUUAGGACAUAAUCUCGCAUAUACGUGUGGUAUUAUUGUUGUGCAACCCCACAUGUUAUAUAUGUUUUCGGGGUAGAAAAAUCCAUAGAAUUUAACUGUGCAUUUAGUUUUAGCUUUUGAGCAAGUUAGUGUGCGUGAUAUUUUGCCAUGUUGCCCUUUUGUUUUUUUUGUGGGAUUUAAUCCGCGCGUGUGUCGGGACCCCGAUCCUAAGCCAUAGGAAUCCAGCCUGUAACACAUCACAUCCCUUUGCGGUCUCACCCAGGGUUAUCCCCAUGGCUGCAGCCUUACCUUAGUCGGGACCGUUUGCGCCUUUUGACUCGCGUAUGCAAUUGUGUCUCUAGCAUUCCGAUGUCAAAGAACCCGGGUCGACAUGUCUAGUCAUAAACUCAAGUGGCAGUUCCGUACAGGGACAGGCAUACAUGACCCAGCAAAGAAGGUGUCCGUCAUCAGCGAGUGUAGACGGGUCGUAGCAAGCUACAAGGACUCCAUUACACCGCGUGACAUUUCCCCAAAGGGACAGACACGACAUCCAAGAAGGACACAUGCCAGUCAACCAAUGUGUCUGGAGCAGUAGCGAACUACCAUGGCUCGGUGGAAACACAAAGGGGCAUUUCCCCGUAAGGAAUGCUACUAAGGCAUACGACUAGGUGUUCGAACCCCAGGCAUAUCAAGUACAACACACGUACGCAUGGCGUACCCGAUAUGCAUAGAUACAUCGAUGGCAUCACAACAAAACCAUAAACAUACAACUUUAUUUAGAACGCUCGGAAGAGCCUCACACAUAAUAUUACACACAUAGGGGUCUCAUGACCCAUCAUCACAAGUCAUUCAAACAAGUCUUAUAAGCCAGCGGAAGAUUAAAAUUGUCUGAGUAUAGACAGAUGGAAAGGUAAAAGGCACAUGGCCUGACUAUCUACAGACCCAACCUAGGGCCAGAUCGUAGCUGGGACACUAGCUACUCGUCGUCGUCAACGUCUAGAUAGAACCCACCAUUAGGGUCAUUAACAACCUCUACAACAAUUUAUUAAGCAAACGUGAGUACAAAAGUACUCAGCAAGACUUUAGAAUAAUCUAUCUAUUCAUGCAAUAUAUCAACAAGGAGUUGUGGGGUUUCAUGCAGAAAGGCAGAUUUGACUCUUGGCUAGACAAAACUACAUUUUUAAAUAGUUUUGACAACUUUGUUUUCUCGCACACGAGUCCACUAACUCCACAACAAUACACCAUCAUGGAAUCAUUCCGUCUCCCUAUGGAAAUGCCAUCCACGACACUCACACUUAUCUUGACAUUUUUAUGAGUAGUCAUUAUAGUUGUCUAUGAACAACAUAUGUUUCCAAGUAGUCCAUAUCCGCAGAUGCGGCUAUUCGAAAAGAUCAUAACCCUGCAGGGAUGUACUUCUUCACACACGCUCUCGCCACUUAUCGCUAUGUGCACAUCAUGCAUCUCGGCAACCUUCAAGCGGAAGCCCAGCGAGGGAGUCGGCCACGACCGUUAACCAUGUUAAUACCUAGUCCAGGUUUAUCGCCUAUCUGAGUGUAACCCGCACGGAAGUCCGACCGAGGUUUCCGCCACGGCCCCAAACGAUGUGCGCAGGGUUCCCAAGCCCACCAUCCGGGUGUCACUUGGUACACCGUGCCACUGCCUACCGCGUCAUAGCCCACCUCUAAGGUCAGCACUAUGCAUGGCCUCCAGCAUGACUAUAAACACCAGAAACUACUUGUGACUCCUGGACCGAAUACUAGGCGAUUAAUAAGUCGAGCGGGGUCAUAUUUCAGGGCCCAGCAUGUGGUAGUAUCUCGUCUUGGAUUAGAUACACGGAACUCAGUUCCUAAGGACGGUUCCUAUGAAACAACCCGCCAUGUACUCCUACAUAGCCUUUCACCGGUACCUUUACCAAAUCAGGUUCAACACACAACCAUAAUAACUGAACACAUUCUCAUGAUCCUGUUCAUCACCCAUAUGACAGACCAAACACAACUCUAAGCAUAGCAUGCAUAGCAGGGUAAGACACAUCAUGGCUCAAGCAUCUACCAGGUAUGCUAGGUUGCAAGGUUUAGCUAAUUACUGUGACAAAGACAUGUCAUGAAAAGGAAUGGGUUCAACUAACAUGAUAAAGGCAUUUGAAGCAUUUUGACCUAAUGCAAUAAAUAAGAGUAGGAGCGAGAACAUGGGAUUUAUCAGGAUGAUCAAAAUUGUUGCUUGCCUUGUUGCUCAGCAGAGGGGUGAUAUCCGUCAGUCGGAUAAUCAGUCGUCCCUGGAGGGGUGGGGCCUACCGAAUAACAACAUACAAUUAAUAACAAUCAUAUGCAACAAUCAUGAUGCAUGAACAUGACAAGAAAUGAAGGGUGAUAUGUUUCAAUGUGGUUGGUGAAACCUUAGUUUGCAUCUGGAUUGAAAUCCAAAUUCAAAUAUCAUUUGAAAUGGCAUAUUUAUCUUAAUCAUUUAAUUGAUUUGACCUCAUGUUGUUUCAUAACUUUGUUUUUCAUGCAUGAAAGUAACACCAUUGUGUUCAUUGAAUUUUUCUGAUCAAUUUGCAUAUAUUAUUUGUCUGAUUUGGAGUUAUAAUCAAAUUUCUUUGAAUUUCCAAAGUUUUGCAAUUAUUCUGGAAUUAUAUUAAAACCAGAAUUGGACUUAUUGCAUCAGCAUGACAUCAGCACGUCAGCUGGCCGUUGGAAGUCAAACCUGACUAGUCGGACCCACUGGUCAGUGACUGUGGCCAGUUUUAGAUUAAGUUUAAAGUUAAUUAGCUAUUUAACAGAGCUCGACCCACAUGUCAGUGGCUAUUUAACUUCUAAUAUAACUUCUAUUUUUAUUUUAACUAAACCUAAUUAGUAUGAGGCCGGCCCCACAUGUCAUUGACUCUAGGGAGCUCAAAUCCAACGGCGGCGAGGUGGAAAUCGCCGGUGAUGAGCUCUGGCGACAACAGAGACAGCGGGGAGCUUCAGGUUUUCUAUUCCGGCGACCAAACGCAAGGCGGAAGGCACCAGAUGAUCGGCCGCUCGAUCGCAGACCCAUUUUUCAAAGAAGAGGGGCUAAGAUGGCCGGAGAUGACGCCGGCGACGAGCUCAGGGGCUGCCAGAGUUCGGGCACCAUCGGGAUCAUUGAUCCAGAGGCUAGGAGGGUCAAGGCUUAGCACCUACGACAUCUACGCGGUGCACUAAUGCUGCUGGUGGCCGGAGAAUGACUAGCCGAUCACCGGAGAGCUACCGGCGACGAGGUCCCGCGGUGGAUCUCGUCGGGCUCCGGUGGAAUCGGGGCCUAGAGCUCGGUAUCGAGAGGGAAAAUGAGGGGGAAAGCACCCUGAGCUCACACGCAGUGCAGAGGCGACGAGAGCGGGCUCGGGGAUGGUCUGAGGAGGGAGAACGACGGCAGCGAGCUUCGGGGAUCCGAGGUUGAAGACGAUGGCGUCACAGCGUCUCAGGGGUUCUCGGCGUCUAGCAGCUGGCUGGAGAGCUUCAGGAGACCAAGGCGAUGCUAUUGCGCAGCUCAGGUGAGAGGGAGAGGGGCUGGUGCGACGGCGAGCUCGAGCUCGGCUCGGGCUCUAAUGGCGGCCGAGAGAGGAGAGAGCUGGGGGAGGAAUGAGGCGAGGAAGAGCUCGGGGACAGCUGCGGGAGGCUUAUCCCCUCCUUGCCAGCGCGAAGCGGCGGCCAGGCAGGCACGCAGGUGCGUGGCCGCGUCGGAGGGAGCGGCGACCACCUCCUGCUGCUCGUUGGCAUGAGGAAGACGAUAGGGCGAGCUGGGCUGGGCCAGGGGUGAGCGACAGGUAAGUCUUUUUCUAUUUUUUUCAUUUCUGUUUCUGUUAAAUCCUUUCCGACUUUGUUUCGUUUUAUUUUUGGCUCCAAAAUAUUCCUAAAAUAGUUUGAAACAUGCUGAAAUGUUAUUUGAGGUAUUUCCAAACAUAUAUAAAAGUUUCAGCAUUUUUGGAAACUUUGGAAUAUUUGAAAUCAAUUAUAUAGUUGAUUUCAGUAACUUUUAAGUUUAAAAUAAAAUGCCGAAAGCAUUUUGAAAAUAUAUUUCACCCCUGAUAUUUUGUUUUCAACAUUUAUCAGAAAUGAUGAACUUUUCUAAUAGCUAAUUUUGGAUUCUUUAAUUUGCCACCAAAUUUGAAUUGCUUUUGAAUAUAGAGUUGCUAGGGUUUGCUUUUGUUUUCUUUGGUUUGCUUUUUAUUUCAUUUCAUAUACUUGGAUGCAAAGAAGAAGACAUGAGCACAAACUUGUUAUACUCUAUUAGGGAUUCAGGGAUGUGACAGCGUGAUAUGAAGGAGUUGUCAACUAGAGAUAUGCCCUUAGAUGUGUAGGCUAGCCUCUGGUAAUUUUGGUUGCAAUAGAAAUACAUGUUUAGGUGUGGUUUGCUUGCUCUCAACUUGCUAGAAAAUAGUGCUGAUUUGUAGAUGCUGAAAUAUUUCUAAGUCUGAAAUCUGUUAUAUUUUGUUGUUGUCUUGUCAUGAUUUUAUCUGGUGAUAUGUAUCUCUUUUGAGGUUGGUGCAAUGGAGUUAGUUGUAGACUUUAGGACUCUCUAGCAUGCUGUGAAUUUUCAUGCCAUUUGGAGUCAUGUAGCUUAUGGUUUUGCUGCUGUCAAUAUGCCUUCAGAUCAAAAACUGCACUUUCAUAAACUGUGGUUUUCACUAAGUCUGAAACAGUGUGUUAGAUACCAUUUUGUGACUUCUUUUCCUAGUGAUCCAUGCUUCCAUGCUAGGUGUUACUAGUUUUUUGUUGUAGUGCUUCUUGCCCUCUAUCGUCUCAUGCCUUGGUUGAGUAUAUUGGAUUUGGGUAGCUCGUAGUUGUGGGGUGUAAAAAUGAUAUGUGGCUGUUUUUGGCAGAUUGUAGUGAUUUCUUGUUUAGCUCGUAGUUGUUGAACCAUUGCUCCGUUUUGAUGUGUCCUAUAUGAAACUUGCUUAGAAUCUCUUGUAGUGUCAUAAUAUCUUGCUGGUUGUGUGUUUUGGAAUGCUUGUGACUGUCGUUGCACACAUAUUGCAUUCAUGCCAUCAUAUCUUGCGGUGUUCGUAUCUUUUGAAGCGUAGCUCCGUUGGAGAUGUUCUCUAUGUGUAAAUUGUUUGUAACGACGCGUAGAACCAUGUGAACCUAUUUAUUUUUCUGUUUAAUAAACAUUUAAACGUGUUAAUUCAGAUCUGAAAAGAAUUGUAAAUUAACAUGUGAGGUCGUUUCGGAGGUGCUAUAUGUCAUUUCCGACCUCAUUUAAAAUGCCUAGAUAGGUAGAUUAAUUAUGCUUCACCUCUUGCCAUGAUUAACCACAUUUAAUACUGUCGUGUACCUAACCGGGAUAGAAUUAAAUAAUACGUAUGUGGAGUUUCGUCAAUAUGCAACUCGUUGCAUAUUGUACUUCACUUAAUGUGUAGUGUUUGAUUGUUGUGAAUUGACAUGCCAUGUCUUGCAUGUGUCCAACCGUUCAUGCAUCAUAUGUGUUGUGCAUCGUGUGGUGUAUAUCGUGUGUUGAUUCUUGUUUACGGUUUUCUUCGUCUCGAUAGAGUUCCGCAAGCGUAUAGGAAAGUGAGGACCGGUUCGACUACAUCAGUUCGUCUGCUUCACGGAGUCGUUCUUCUUCCAAGCGGGAUCUCAGGCAAGAUGACCAUUUCCCCAAAUACCAUUACUAUAAUUUCCAUGCUAGUUUUACCGUUUAUAUCGAUUAUGUCCCGUUGCCUACCACAUGUUAAAUAUCAGCCUCUCGACAUUGCCAUGAAAACCUUCAACCUGUUCACAACCUAGCAAACCACUAAUUGGCUAUGUUACCGCUUGCUUAACCAUGUGUUAGCGUUGCUAGUUGCAGGUGCAGUUGCUUCCAUGUGAUAAUAUGGGUUCCUUGUUAUAUCACCCUAUUAAAUGCUAUUUAAUUUAAUGCACCUAUAUACUUGGUAAAAGGUGGAAGGCUCGACUUUCUAGCCUGGUGUUUUGUUCCACCUUUGCCCCCUUAGUUUCGGCUACCGGUGCUAUGUUCCAUAAUUGAGCGCUCCUAACACGAGCGGGGUUGUUAUGGGGACCCCCUUGAUAAUUCGUUUUAGAUUAAAGCUGGUCUGGCAAGGCCCAACAUUGGUACUACAUUUUCCCAACAUAAUAAUUUUGUUAAUACUGAAUGCAUAGGGCAUCAUGAAACCGAGGAGUAAUUCAACAUAAUACACGGGGGCAGUGCUGAUGGUGCUGGUCCAAAACUAGAGCCGUUUGCAGGGCCAACCCGGGUCAACUUGGGAGAUUUCUAUCAGGCCACCAUACGUUGUGCUUAUCUGUCGUGUCCUGAGAACGAGAUACGCGGCUCCUAUCGGGAUCGUCGACACGUCGGGCGGCCUUGCUGGAUUAGUUUUACCUUUGAUGAAUGUCUUGUGCAUCGGGAUUCCGAUGAUGCUUUGGGUAAUCUCAGAGUUGAGGUUUUUCACUAAGGAGUCCGUCGAGAUCGCGAGUUUCGUGAUCGAGGAUUUCUAUGCAGCUUGUGGUAAUUUGUGAUGGAUUAGUUGGAGCACCCCUGCAGGGUUAAAUCUUUCAGAAAGCCGUGCCCGCGGUUAUGUGGCAACGUGGAAACUUUGUUUAACACUGGUUCUAGAUAACUUGAAGUUAACUUAAUUAAAAUAUGCCAACUGAGUGCGUAACCGUGACUGUCUCUUUCGUGAGUUCCUUCUUUGAUCGAGGACACGGUGGGGUUAUGUCUGACGUAAGUAGGUGUUCAGGAUCAUUCACUUGAUCAUCAGUAGUUCACGUCCGUUAUGCAUAGAUCUUCCCCCUCUUUAUUCUUGUACUCGUAAGUUAGCCACCUCAUAUAUGCUUAGUCACUUGCUGCAGCCUCACCACUUAACCAUACCUCACCUAUUAAGCUUUGCUAGUCUUGAUACCUUUGGAAAUGAGAUUGCUGAGUUCCCUGUGGCUCACAGAUUACUACAACACCAGUUGCAGGUACAGGUAAAGGUUACUUGACGCGAGCGCAUUGAUUGUUCAUUUGGAGUUGCUUCUUCUUCUUCUUCUUCAUCGAUCUAGGAUGGGUUCCAGGCCGGAAGCCUGGGAUGGCAAGGAUGGACGUUGUCGUGGGUAUAAGCCUGACAGUAGAUGUAUAGGGUACGAAUGAGAUGGGCAGAGUCCUAGCUACGGCGAUGUUGUAUGAGUUCAGGCCCCUCUACGGUGGAGGUAAUAGCCCUACGUCUCAGUGCUCUUGGAGCUGAUUACCGAGUGUAAUAUGGAGUACAAUGUUUUUCUAACCCUUUCACCAGUGGGGGAGGGCGGCUUAUAUAGAGUGCGCUGCCCUCCACAACGGUUCUGAUUCAAGGGUGGAGUAGUGGUGAUUGAAUGCAUGCGUUAUAGGUAACGUAUGCUAUAAAUGCUAGUUAAUGCACCCGGAAACGUACGGCAGUUUCCCUCCAGGGAGGUUACGACGAACCGAGUGUAUCCAGUCGGUAGGUCCGGUGUCCUCCGAGUCUUAGUCUCCGACUGGAUAAUUCUGGGCAUGUUACCGACUGGAUGAUGGGGGCACCGUAAUACAGUCGGGUAUACUUAAGGUCCCGUCCCUUGCGUGGGGUAGUCCUUGGGUAGGACCUGUAGGACAGGCCUAUGACCCAUUGAUACAUUGAGCUUGAAAUUCAUGUUACUAGAACAACUAAUACUAGAAGCUCAUCUUGAGAGAGCGUUACAACAGUCGUGCUAACACUUGGUAAUUGGAGCCAAAAAAUUUCCCACCACCCCAAUUGAUGUGACAUCUUCAACCAUAGAAACAAUGCAUCAGAGAGCCAAUCGUUUAGCUUGAAAGUUGAUGAAAUCACUCCCUAGAGCAGACUUGAAGGAUUUGAUGCGUGAUUGAAGGCAAGCAUGAAGGAGUCAGUCGCUGAGGAACUAUGCCUCUGGAAUCUGGCGAUCGAGAUGUGAAUUGUCAAUCCGCGGGCAUUUGUUGAUGUGUUGUAACAACAAAUGUGGCGACCUUCAGGGCGCUCCUCGGGUCGAUGGCCAUGGAGUCACAACAGUUCAACAAACGGUGACCAACAGUAUUCUUGUGACAUCAAUGGUCCCUUCGACAAAUUGUACGACGAUGUCUCGUUUCCCUUCGAUUCUCCUUCUCCGGAGUUCAACUCUCGGGAUCCCGAGAAUUUUGGUCAGGUGUUUGCACAAGAGGCACAAAACCCACCAUCGAUACCCUUUACGUUGUUCGAUGGCGAGAAUCCAAAUUUGUGGAAGGACAUUUGCGAGUCAUAUUUUGGACAGUGUACUCUUUCGGGGGUGCCGGUGCUACAAGCUCUAGGAGCGUCCAUGUUGUGGCACGCGACCAGAGGGGAUGCAACCGUGCUUGUCGCUCGAGGCGGUCGUGUUGUGACGAGCUUUGGAGCGACGAACGAUGGUGUAAACUAUUUGCUGCGAGCGAUGUCGACCAAAGCUACAAGAAACAACGAACAUUGCUUUGUUCACCAAGCAUGUGAGCAUUUACGGACGCAGCUCCGAGCGGCGCUGACCAUUGUAGUGACCGUCAUCUACCAAAUCUAUGACCGAUCACGAGCACAACUACAAGCGACUUCGACCAUUGCAGCGACAAGCAUCGACAGUAACUACUACCGGUCAUAUGCGCAUCUAAGAGCCCCACGAGGGUGCUGCUUCCGAGUAGGAUGUGAGAUCUUUCACUGGUUGCGACGACUUGACGAUCUAGAUGUUUCCUACACCUGAGUGCACCACAUGCGAGGAUAUGGACAUGACCCCUUUUCUCUCAGCGGCUAGUGUGCAAGAAAAAUGUGCGAGUUCAGAGGGAUAACGAAUCAGACAUUUGAUCCAAUGCCCAAGCAUGGGCCAAUCUUACUGUGUAUGAGACGACCAAUCGAUGCUAAGGUAUAGUCGCUGGAUCACGGAGAAUAAUGUUUAAGAUAUUAAAAAAUGAUACUUCCUCUGAUCCAUAUUAAUUGUCAUGUAAUAACACAUUUUAAUAAGUUAUAUUCAUGAAUAUAAAAAAAAAUUAGAAACCAGAAAAAAAACCUGAAAAUCAGCCAAAUGUAAAACUGGACGGAAAAUAUCGCUACACAUCAUUUCAAUUGUUUGCAAACUGAUGGGGUUAUAGUCCCAGGGUAGGGUCAUAGGCCUGCCCUAUAGGUCCUACCCAAGGACUACCCUUCAUAAGGGACAAGGCCCUUAGUCAGUUCCGACUGAAUUAUGGACUUCCCAUCAUCCAGUCGGUGACGAUCCCUCCAUCAUCCAGUCGGAGACGUGCAUUCGGAGCGUAUCAAACUUACCGACUGGAUUCCACUAUGUAUAUCGUAACCCCCCUGGAGGGCAACGGUCAUACGUUUUCAUGUACCUUUAUUAGCAUUUAAGGCAUACAUUACCUGUAACGUAGGCACUUAUUCGCCACUACUCCACCCCUGUGCACCGAACCGUUGUGAAGGGCCGCGCACUCUAUAUAAGCCGCCCUUCCCCACUGGUGCAUGGGUUAGCAUUUCACUGUAAUCCAUAUUCCACUCGACAUCAAGCUCCCAAGAGCACUGAGACGUAGGAGUUUUACCUCCACUGUAGAGGGGCCUGAACUCAUACAACCUCGACGUAGCCAAGGCUCUGCCCAUCCUUUCGUACCCUACACAUCUACUGUCAGACUUAUACCCACGACAGUUGGCGCCCACCUUGGGGCAGGCGUCUAAGCGACUUCCGGCGAGUUUGUGACUACAUCUUUUCAUCAUGUCAUCCGCUGGAGAUUUGUGCAUGGGUCAUGAGAUCCUCUUCGGCGCUCUCUCCUUCAUCGUCGACGAUUCGGCAUGGCUUCGGGAUGCCCCUCUCGACGUCGAGGCGCUCCCCAGUCGCGGGGCUACGCACUUCCGUGCCGGUGCCCGCGGCAUCCUUCUUCUCCAGCAGUCGGCUCCGGUGUCGAUCUUCGCCCCCGUCACGCACCGCAACAAGCGGUCUCGCCGUCCGCGGCUCCAGCGUUGGGUGCAACAUGCUCAGGCGCGCCAGAACGCGUCUUCACAAGUGGCGGUCCUCGAGUCGGUUGUAGUUGCGACGCCGUCCCAGCGCUCGGACUCAGUUCCGACUGAGUUUCCUUCCGAGUACUUGGGUCGCGGGCCUGCAGCCGAAGUGCACAUGGCCAACUCCCAUGAAAGUCCCCGCCAAACCGGCCAGAACGAGCACGAGGUCGGCGAAACAUCUGGCGCUCGCCGUCAGCCCCGCCGUUCUGCCAGUCGGCGCACUCGUCAGAGCAACGUGGAGGUGUUCCGCACACCCGUCCUCAACCUGGCUGCUGCCGCCAAGAUAGUCGAUUCCCUCCAGCCGAUUGAUUCAGAGGCUGGCAGAGGGAUCGAGCAAAUCCGUGCCCUGUUGCACACGGCGCAGUAGCAGAAUUCGGCGGUCUCCUAGUCGCACAACAGGAUCCACAACAGUUCUGUUCACGCGAACACGCAUCGGUCAGUUUUCAGCCCCGAUUCUCAUCAGCGACACAGAGGAGGCAACCGUUCCAUGAAUCCCGAAGAUCAUCGCCGUUCACGCACCCCUCCGCGGGGUGGGCCCUUUGGGCCCCGACAUCAUGAUGAUCAGCGUUCGGUCGGUGACACUUAUGAUCCAAGGCCCGACGCAAGAGGAUACACCGCACAGAGGAGGGUCGACGGGAUCCGAGCCCACCGUGAUGGUCAAGAUAGAGACCGUCCGAGUGGAAGCAGGAUCAUCCUCUCUGGCCCCGAGUGUUUCAGUCGGGCCAUCCGUUCGGCUGACAUCCCUCCCAACUUCCGAUUGGCGACGGGGAUCAGCAAGUUUACAGGACAAUCCAAGCCAGAAACGUGGCUGGACGACUACCGAGUGGCAGUCCAGAUCGGGGGUGGAGACGACCAGGUCACCAUGAAACAUCUCCCCCUGAUGCUCGACGGCUCGGUACGUGCGUGGCUGAACCAGUUGGCUCCUUCAAGCAUCUACAGCUGGGCAGAUCUGGCCCGAGUCUUCAUCAAGACCUUCGAGGGCACGUGCAAAUGCCCCGCUGGUAUCGUAGAGCUCCAGCAUUGUGUCCAGAAGUAGAAUGAGCCCCUGCGCGAUUUCAUCCAGCGUUGGACAACCCUCUACCACACGGUGGAGAACGUCACAGAGCACCAAGCAGUCUGCGCCUUCAAGGCAGGCGUGCGGUACAGAGAUCUGUACCUGAAGUUCGGUCGGACCGGCGACAUCUCCAUGAGCAAGAUGAUGGAGAUAGCGGCACGCUAUGCCAAUGGAGAAGAGGAGGACCGCAUUCGUAGCGGCAAGCACAAAGCAGUCGCCGAUGGAGAUGGGAAUAGCACUCGGAAACAGAAGCAGAAAACUCCGUCCACUCCGCAGGCAGAGGCCGCAGCCGUUACCAAUGUCAAGUUCAAGGGCAAGGGGAAGGCUCAGUUCACCCCCAAGAAAAAGCAGUUCGGAAACCACAUCCUGGACCGGCCAUGUCCAAUCCACACAAAGAUGGAUGAAGAAGGCAACGCCAUAUUUCCGAAGCAUACCACUCAGCAAUGUCGCCUCCUGAUCCAGGGGUUCGGCGAAGGGCAGCCGAGUGAAAAGGACAAUGAACAAGAUGAAGAGGACAAGGAGGAUCCGUUCCCCCAAGUCCAUGCAACACUGAUGAUUUUUGCUGACGUGAAAAGCAAGAGUCGAUUGAAGCUGGUGAACAGGGAGGUGAACAUGGCCACCCCAACCAACCCCACGUUCCUCAAAUGGUCUCAGACUGCGAUCACCUUUGACCAGUCGGAUCAUCCAGCGCACGUACCCACCCGAGGGAGGCAGGCCCUGGUCGUCGACCCGGUGGUGGAAGGACUCUGACUGCGCAAAGUCCUCAUGGACGGUGGCAGCGGCUUGAACAUCAUGUACGCCGACACUCUCAAGGGGAUGGGCAUUCCGAUGUCCAAACUUAGCGAGAGCAGCAUGUAGUUCCACGGGGUCGUCCCUGGACGAAAGGCCAAGUCACUCGGCCAGAUCGCGUUGGACGUCGUCUUCGGCUCCGACAAGAACUUCCGCAAGGAAAAGCUGACAUUCGAGGUGGUGGACUUCCAGAGUGCAUACCACGCGAUUCUCGGUCGUCCGGCGUAUGCGCAUUUCAUGGCCCGUCCAUGUUACCUAUACCUGAAGCUGAAGAUGCCAGGUCCCAAAGGUGUGAUCACUGUCACAGGCAAUCGGCAGCGGGCCGAGGAGUGUCUGCAGCAGGGAUCGAGGAUCGCCGAUCAGCAGAUGGCUGCCCUCGAGCUCGACGAGUACAAGAAGACAGCCGACCCCGCUGACUUGAUGCGUUCAAAGAAGCCAUCUUCGGAGUCCGCAUUCCAGUCGGUGGGAGAAACGAAGAAGGUCAGCAUCCACCCGACGGACGACACUGCUGCCCCGACGAACAUCUCCACCGCCCUCGAUCCAAAAUAGGAAGCCGAGCUCAUCCAAUUCCUCCGUGAGAACUGGGACAUUUUCGCAUGGAAGCCCGCUGACAUGCCAGGUGUACCCAGGGAGUUGGUUGAGCACCGACUGCAUGUGGAUCCUGCUGCUCGGCCUGUCCGAGAACGCCUGCGAUGGUCCGUCGCGCACAAGAGGAAGGCAAUCGGAGAGGAGGUGGCUAAACUUUUGGCGGCCAAUUUCAUUCGCGAGGUACACCACUCCGAGUGGCUCGCCAAUGUUGUUAUGGUACCCAAGAAGGACAAGUCUCUCCAAAUGUGCAUCGACUUCAAGCAUCUCAAUAAGGUCUGACCGAAAGACCAUUUCCCGCUCCCCCGCAUCGAUCAAGUUGCCGAUUCGACUGCGGGUUGCGAGCGUUUGUCAUUCCUUGAUGCCUACUCGGGCUAUCAUCAGAUCCGUCUGUAUGGCCCCGAUGAAUUAAAAACAGCCUUCAUCACCCCAUUCGGGUGCUUCUGCUACAUCACUAUGCCAUUUGGUUUGAAGAAUGCAGGAGCAACUUUUAUGCGCAUGAUCCAAAAAUGCCUCCUUGACCAGAUCGGUCGAAAUGUGGAGGCGUAUAUGGAUGAUAUCGUAGUCAAGUCACGCAAAGGUUCCGACCUGCUGACUGACUUGGCAGAAACAUUCGCCAACCUUCGUAGGUACGAUAUCAAGCUCAACCCAGCCAAGUGUUCAUUCAGUGUUCCCAGCAGAAAGUUACUCGGUUUCUUCGUUUCCGAACGAGGGAUCGAUGUCAAGCCCGAAAAUAUCGGGACCAUCGUCCGAAUGGAGCGGUCGGUCAGAAUACACGAUGUUCAAAGGCUCAUAGGUUGCCUAGCGGCUUUAAGCAGGUUUAUCAGUCGACUCGGCGAGAAGGCACUACCUCUGUACCGACUCAUGAAGAAAUCAGAUACUUUCGAGUGGACAGACGAAGCCCAAAUCGCAUUCGACGACCUCAAAGUCCUACUUUCCACCCAGCCGGUUCUUACUGCUGCGCUCAAUAAAGAACCCCUUCUUCUGUACAUCGCGGCUACAAAUCAAGUCGCCAGCACUGUUCUUACAGUCGAACGUGAAGAAGAAGGCAAAGCAUACAAGGUUCAGCGGCCAGUGUAUUAUGUCUCUGAAGUCUUGACUCCUUCCAAGCAGAGGUAUCCCCACUAUCAAAAACUUAUUUACGGGAUUUACAUGACUGCGAAGAAGGUGGCUCAUUAUUUCCAAGACCACUCGGUGUCUGUCGUUUCUGAUGCUCCGUUGUCGGAAAUCCUCCACAAUCGGGACGCAUCGGGCCGAGUGGCGAAGUGGGCAAUGGAGAUGUUAUACUGCGACAUCAAGUUCGAGGCCAAGAAAGCUAUAAAGUCUCAAGCUCUGGCUGACUUCAUAGCAGAAUGGGUAGAACAACAGCAACCGACUCACAUCUACUCGGCUCAUUGGACAAUGUUCUUCGAUGGGUCCAAGAUGUUGAAUGGCUCCGGCGCUGGCGUUGUGAUCAUAUCGCCAAAAGGUGACAAACUCAAGUAUGUGUUGCAGAUACACUUCGAUUCCUCCAACAACGAGGUAGAGUAUGAAGCUCUUCUUUAUGGAUUGCGCAUGGCCAUCGCACUCGGCGUCCGUCGCCUAAUGGUCUAUGGCGAUUCAGAUUUGGUAGUUAAUCAAGUGAUGAAGGAGUGGGACGUAAGGAACCCCACCAUGACCACAUACUGCAAUGCGGUGAGGAAGCUCGAGAAAAAGUUUGAAGGUCUGGAACUCCACCAUGUUCUGCGACUGAAAAACCAAGCAACUGAUGAAUUGGCGAAACUUGGAUCCACUCGGAGACCAGUCCCGAGUGACGUCUGCCUCGAGCACCUUCACCUUCCCUCAGUUAAAGAAGAUCCUUUCACAGAGGAACCAGUACAACCUAAGAGCUCGACAGAUCCGACUGAAGUCGAAGUCCCUGUUGUGGUUGAUUUGAUCAUGGAGAUUCUUGCUAUCAUCCCCGAUUGGACUGUAUCGUUCAUUGCAUACAUCCUGAGGCAAGAAUUACCAGAAGACGAAGUUCAAGCCAGACAGAUCGUCCGCAGGUCGAAGUCGUUCACCGUCAUUGAUGGCCAGUUGUACAAGGAAAGCGUUUCAGGCGUCCUUCAGCGAUGCAUCUCCCCUAAGGAGGGACAGUUAAUCCUGGAAGAAAUUCACUCGGGAACCUGCGGUCAUCACGCCUCCUCAAGGGCAAUUGUCGCCAAAGCAUUCAGAGUUGGCUUCUUCUGGUUGCAAGUGAAUGAAAUGGCGAAGGAUAUGGUCGACCGAUGUGAAGGCUGUCAGUUCUACUCGAACAAGUCGCACAAGCCAACAUCUGCGUUGAAGACAAUCCCUCUUGUUUGGCCGUUUGCAGUGUGGGGAUUAGAUACAGUCGGUUCAUUCAGGACAGGCCAAGGAGGAUUCACUCAUCAGUUGGUGGCAGUCGACAAGUUCACCAAGUGGAUUGAAGCCAAACCCAUCAAGAAGCUCGACGCCCUUACGACCAUCAAGUUUGUCAGGGACAUCAUCUCCAGAUUCGGGGUACCGCACAGCAUAAUCACUGAUAAUGGCACAAACUUUGACUCGGACAGAUUCAAAGGUUUCUGUACAGGCCAAGGUAUCCGAGUGGAUUUUGCAUCUGUGGCACAUCCCCAAACAAACGGGCAAGCAGAGCGGGCGAAUGGACUUAUUCUUCAAGGGUUGAAGCCUCGACUUCCGCGAGAAGUUGGACAUGCUGCCGGCGCAUGGGUCACCGAGCUGCCUUCAGUGUUGUGGGGCCUCCGCACAACUCCAAAUAGAUCUACAGGGCGAUCCCCGUUCUUCCUCGUUUACAGAGCAGAGGCAGUCCUUUCGAGUGACUUGCUUCACAACGCUCCACGAGUCGAACUUUUUUCCGAAGCCGAAGCAGAGCAAGCUAGGCAAGACGGAGUGGAUCUUCUAGAAGAGGAGCGCGAGAUGGCACCGACUCGCUCAACCAUUUAUCAACAAGAUCUGCGGCGUUUUCACGCGCGACACGUCAGGAGUCGUACAUUCCAAGCAGGCGUCCUGGUGCUCCGAGUGGAUCAACAGAGACCUCACAAGUUGGCUCCCGCCUGGGAAGGACCCUUCAUCAUCUCCAAGGUGCUGAACAACGGAGCAUAUCGACUCUACAACCUCGAUAGGGAAACGGACGAGCCGCGAGCAUGGAACGGAGAUCUCCUGAAGCGCUUCUACACGUGACCGUCGACUGAAGCAAUGUAAAGAACAAGUAUCGUUGAAGUAAUACAAAGCAGAUUGAAUUUUUGCAGAUUCAAAAUUCUUCCACGUUGGCAGACUCCGGUCUCAAAAAAAAACUUAGUUGCGAUCCAGAAUCGCNNNNNNNNNNNNNNNNNNNNNNNNNNNNNNNNNNNNNNNNNNNNNNNNNNNNNNNNNNNNNNNNNNNNNNNNNNNNNNNNNNNNNNNNNNNNNNNNNNNNNNNNNNNNNNNNNNNNNNNNNNNNNNNNNNNNNNNNNNNNNNNNNNNNNNNNNNNNNNNNNNNNNNNNNNNNNNNNNNNNGCCUAAGUACAAACUUUCUCCGAGUGUGCACUAAACGUUGCACUCGGGGACUUAGCCGCGAUCAAGAAUCGCCUAAGUGCAAACUUUCUCCGAGUGUGCACUAAACGUCGCACUCAGAGACUUAGCUGCGAUCCAGAAUCGUCUAAGUACAAACAUUCUCCGAGUGUGGACUAAACGUUGCACUCGGGGACUUAGCUGCGAUCCAGAAUCGCCUAAGUAAAAAAGCUUCCUUCGAGUGUAUCUUAGAGAUCCACUUGGAGACUUAGCAGACCCUCAUUGAGGCUCAUGUAGAUGUCAGGACAACUGACAAUUACAUGAGUAGCAAAUACCCUCAUUAAGGCUCAUGUAGAUGUCAAGACAACUGACAAUUACAUGAGUAGCAACUCGCUCCGAGUGCGACCUUACUGUCGCGCUCGAAGACUUAGCUGCGAUAACGAAUCGCCUAAGUAAAGAACUCCCUUCGAGUGUUUCCUAGAGAUCCACUCGGAGGCUUAGCAGACCCUCAUUGAGGAUCAUGCAGAUGUCAAGACAACUGACAACUACAUGCUCCACCUGUUUGCCACUGGAUCCACCAAGAAAAGCCAAACAGAAACCACGAGCCAAAAUCGUGUCAAGAAUUUUUUGGCAAAGGAAGAGCAAAAUAUUCGAUUCAAAUUCAAAGUUGGUUUAAAGAUAGUCGGCUCGGUGUAGAUCAAGCUUAUCCACACCGAACCACGAAUGUGACGGCCAACAGCAGUGGACAAAGUUUGAUACAAGUACCACUCGGCAUACCGAGGUAAAGUUUUUUAAGCGUCGUCAGGACUGGCACUGGGACUGGCAGGCUCCACGAAAGUGUCGAGGUCGAUCCCGUGUGCGAUCCGAGUGGCGCUCUCAAGGAAGGUCUCCAUGAAAUCUUCGAAUCAAAGCUUCUUGGUGUUGGCGACCUGCAGCGCCUUCAGCUUCUCUCCGUGAGCUUCCUUGCAGUGCACUCGGACCAGCGACAGUGCCACGUCCGCACCACAGCAAGCAGCAGACUUCUUCCACGCCUGCACUCGGUUCGGGACGUCCUCCAGUCGAGUCAUCAACCCUUCCAUCUCCCACCGGGACUCGUCUUCGGGCCACAACUCCUUGUCGAUUCGGCCGACGACCUCUCUCAGGCGACCGAUGAAAGGUCCCACUUUGCCCAGGCGAAUGUGCACUCGGAGCAUGUCUCGAUUGGCGUCGUCGCCGAGUGGAACGUUCAGAAUAACCGACCGCUCAACGUCAGCUGCUUCAGCCUCAGCAUCCAUACAAAAAUCUGCAAAGACAAGACGAGCAGAAAGUAAGCGCAGAAUGAAAUACAAAGUCAAGAAGCACUCGGAAUAAACUUACCACCGAGAAGCGCAAUCAUCUUCCUAGCCCAGUCACUGACGUACUUCUCCUGCGAUAUGCACCGACUGUUCAUCGACCUCAUCUGACCCAUCAGCUCAGUUCUUUGUUUCCCCAUUUUCUCCAUUUUCGGCCACCAAUGCCUUGUUUGCCUCACGGGACUCCUCCAAAGACUUCUCUCGUUCAGCAAGAGCACCCUUCACACCAGCCAAGUCAUGCACAGCUGCCUCCAGUUCCGCAGCAAGCUGAAUCUUUUCAGCCUUCACAGCGUUGUAUGCUGAUCCCAUCUCGCAAGUCUUCUGCAAAUCAGCACGAAGAGACGAUCAGACACAUUCAACAAGGAAAACAAUAAAAGCUCUAAGUUCUUCAGACCCCUGCCGACGCAAGCAGUCGACAACGGUCUCGGGGACUACACCCAGUGGGUUCACUAAGAGUGACCCCACUGGCAUGAAGCUCAAACAUGUCAGCCCUAUUGAGCUACGUAACAAAAAACAAGCCUAUGAGGCUACUAUUACCCGACCUGAGUAAAAUUACUCUCGGGGACUACUUCCAGUAGGUGCACUCGGAGUGCCCCCACCGGUAACAUUCGGACAGAUUAGUUUUGAUCUGAUCAAGUUAAAGAAAAUGUAUAUAAAGACAACUGUCGGUGCAAGCACUCGACAGAAGUCUCGGGGACUACACCCACUGGGUUCACUCAGAGUGAACCCACUGCAAAAUAAUCCUACUGUAUCCGAGUAUAUCGCUCAAACACCCACUCGGUUACAAGAGGAAAGCAAAUACUUACUAACGCACUUACUCGGAUAUCGUCCCGGAGCUCCAAGCUUCGCUUGUACAAAGAUGCGAUGGAGUCGUACGCACUCUUAGCAUCACCCGCCAUCAACUCCACCUGCACCAUGGCUUCCUUGGCAGCUCCCACUUGAUCUUCCGGGAGGCGUUGGGCGUUGUACUGGACGGUCGACGGACCUGGCACGACAAGAGACUCCUUGGGCAUCCCAAGUCCUGCUCCAGUUGGUUCAGCCGCGACGAGCACCGUUUCAGUCGACGACACCAUCUCGGUUGGCGGUGCGUCCACGGCGGGAGCGGUAGCAGAUGGAACAACCUCAAGGACAGGCACCGAAGCUUGCUCGGACCUCUUCUGGUUGUCCUCCUCCAGAUGAAUCACCUCUGAAGGAAGCCCGACUGAACGACGUGAGACCACAGAAAAAAGGGCAAAAUCAAAGACAGAAUUCGCAAAACAAUAAUGUAAGCUCUCGGAGUCGUCACGACGUACCUUGCUGGGAGGUGCAACGUUGUCCGUAACCAUGGGAUCGUCUUCCUGGCGUGGCAGAGAAGUGGCGGAGGUAGCAGCUCUGUCGAGUAAAAUCCACUCGACCAAUAAGCAUGAGUUCAAUCAAAUACUGGAAGAAGUUAGGAGAACAAUACACUUACACUGAGGCAACGGGAACGGCGAUCCUCAUCCGCGGCAAGGCCUUCCGAGGCUUGGAUCCACUCGGUUUGGCCACCUUAGAAGGCUGGCCCGCGGGCUUAGCAGCAGAGUCCCUGGUCCUCUUUGUUCUCCGAGCACUCGAAACCACAGGAGUAGCUGUCAAGGCACUCGGAACCACGGGAGGAGCUGGCGGGGCACUCGGGGCCGCUGGAGGAGCCGACAGAGUCAUGGGUUCGUGACGGCGCUUAGUUCGAGGCUCUGGUGGUGGGGGUGGCGAGCUCUGCUCCUCAUCUUCCCCCUCUUCCUCUUCGGACUCCUCCUCCGUCUCCCCACUGUCGGAGACGUACUCGACGCUCUCCAUGCUGCCCUCCUGGCUGCCUUCCUCUUCUUCAGCCGGAUUCCCGUUCGAGACGGGAGAAAACCAGUUGGUCCACGCCUGCACGAGAUACAGUCGACAACAUCAGACGUCAGACAGUGAUACAAGAAAAAGCGAUAAAUCUAAGACAAUUGUGAGCACUCGACAAGUUAUACUCACCUCAUUCGGAGGAGGGUUGUCUGCGCGGAAGGGCUUCACUCGCCGGGCUCCUCUGGGGUUAUCGCAGGCGCCUGUGAUGCUGCGGACCCAUGCCAUCACAACCUCCCCGGUCACGCACUCGGGGUGAGUCCGAGUGGAGUCCUCAGGCCCCGUGUAGUGCCACAUGGCGUGGUGUUGAGCUUGCAAAGGCUGGAUGCGCCGACCCAGAAAAAUCUCCAGCAAAUCUGUGCCAGUGACUCCCUUGCAGACGACAUCUACCAGCGCUUCAACCAGAGGCUGAAUCUGGAUCUUUUCCAUCUUCGUGAGCGCAAGCUGCCUAGGCGGAGCCGGUCGGUCUAGGCUAAAAGGUGGCAGUCCAGUUGCGGCAUUCGGACAAGCGACGUCCUGGCAGUAGAACCAAGUCGACUGCCAGUUCCUAACGGACUCAGACAACUGAAGAGCGGGAUAGCUACUUUUGUUUUUCUUCUGGAAGCCUAAACCUCCGCAGAGCUGGAGGAUAUGAGUUUUGUCAUCCGACUGGCUAAGUCUUUUGAUGGUUUGGGAUCUAGCGGAGAAGAUGUGCUUAAAGAGCCCCCAAUGGGGAGGACAACCAAUAAAACACUCGCAAAGCACGGCGAAGGUAGAAAGAUGAGCUAUUGCGUUGGGAGGAAAAUGGUGGAGCUGCGCCCCGAAGUGGUUCAUGAUACCUCUGCAAAAGGGAUGAGGAGGCAGAGAGAAGCCUCGGUACACGUGACUGAGCAGCAAGACGCGCUCCCCUUCCUGGGGCGCCGGCUCCGUCUCGCCCUCCGCCGGCAGCCUCCACGACUUGUUCUCGAUCAUACCUUGCUCCACCAGCUCCAGCAUGUCGUUCGUCGUCACCGUGGAGGGGAGGAAAUCCCCCUGGAUCCAACCCGUCGGCAGUGCCCGAUGUCGCCGCUGAACAGGAGCCGCCGCCUUCUUCUUCUUCCGCGCCUCGAGCUUGCUCGUCUGCCCCUUCGUCAUGGUGGAGGCCGCAGAUCCGCGGGGGAGGAGAGAAAGGAAGAAGCUUGGGGUGCGCAAGAAGUCACGGGAGAAGCGGGGCGAGUGCGAGUUAUCAGGCGAGCGCAACGAGAAACCCUCGCUGGAGAGGUUUAAAUAAGGUUCCGACUGGGUCACUAGCAGGUGGCCCCGAAAUCUUAUCCCCCGACCGGUUGCUGCGAUAUUAGUGGAGGAGAUGAAGGCGCGGUAAUCGAGGCGGCAGAAACUACUCGAUGACGAUGUCGUCAUCCCCGCUGAGCGCGCGGCAACCGAAAUUUGAGGAUCCCAGAAAAUCCGCCGCUGUCAGUUGACCGGUCACGUCAAAAGAUUCCGCGGAAGCACUCGGUCUCUGACGGUUCGUUUCACAGAUAUAUCCACUCGGAUCACUGGUCAAGAGGAUAAAAUGGAUCGAGGCAAACAACGCCAAAGUCGCAUCCAUACCAGCCGGAUCCGUACUCCAAGCAUCGCUUCGUCGUUCCAACCCCGAUCCAUUCGGGGACUAAUGAUGGGGUUAUAGUCCCAGAGUAGGGUCAUAGGCCUGCCCUAUAGGUCCUACCCAAGGACUACCCUUCAUAAGGGACAAGGCCCUUAGUCAGUUCCGACUGAAUUAAGGACUUCCCAUCAUCCAGUUGGUGACGAUCCCUCCAUCAUCCAGUCGGAGACGUGCAUUCGGAGUGUAUCAAACUUACCGACUGGAUUCCACUCUGUAUAUCAUAACCCCCCUGGAGGGCAACGGUCAUACGUUUUCAUGUACCUUUAUUAGCAUUUAAGGCAUACAUUACCUGUAACAUAGGCAUUUAUUCGCCACUACUUCACCCCUGUGCACCGGACCGUUGUGAAGGGUCGUGCACUCUAUAUAAGCCGCCCUUCCCCACUGAUGCAGGGGUUAGCAUUUCACUGUAAUCCAUAUUCCACUCGACAUCAAGCUCCCAAGAGCACUGAGACGUAGGAGUUUUACCUCCACUGUAGAGGGGCUUGAACUCAUACAACCUCGACGUAGCCAAGGCCCUGCCCAUCCUUUCGUACCCUACACAUCUACUGUCAGACUUAUACCCACGACACAAACCAACCCGUGAUUGGAUGGUAUCCCCUGUCCAUCAGAGUUCAAGUUCCAGACUUGACGUUGGUGAUUGCAUUUUCCUGAAUUUAUUUCAGGUCUUCCGACGAUGUGCUUUCAGUGGGAGGAGACGUUUCCGUCGACAACGAAGUCGACAGUGGCCACUUCGUCAAUCUUAAAAUGAUGUGCCGAUUUAGUCUCUCGAAGGUGCUCAUAGAGAUAGGGUGUGCGUGCGUGUGUUCAUAGAAAUGAGUGUACAUUUCAUUCAUGAAAAAAAGAAGAUGUACGCUUGUAUGUGAUCGAGAUUGUACUGUGAAAAAAAUCUAUUGUUGGGUUGCUCACGGAAACGCCGAGGCUGAAACGGGCCCAAUAAAUCGGUCUCACGCGCGCAGUCCUCCUGCAAUACAGACCUCCUGGCUCCGAUUUCGAUCGAAUUGACCAACUCCCGCAAAAGAAAACGAUUGGAGACAGAAACGCCGAGUGAGGCCUGGCUCCUUCCCCGCGACCAAAAGCUUCAGGCGACGGCGACGGCGGCGGCGCAGGUAUCCAUCCCGAUUCCCCGUCCCUCCUCCUCCUCUCUCCGGCGGCGGCUUGCCUUCAAAUCCCCUAGGCAGCCGCCCCUUUCCCUCCUCCUGCAGCAUCCCUCCUCUCCAUCCCUCACCUGCACGACCGGCGUAGGCCUUCCACAUCUCGCCCAUCUCCGGCCGCGGCAGGCCAUCUCCUCCCAGGCCCACAGCGGCCCUCACGUGCCUCCCCAUCUAUUCUUGCCGUCGGAAACCAUCUCCUCUUCCAUCUUAUCCUUCCCCUACCUUGGAUCCCCUUCUUUCCCUUCCUUGGAUCCCCUUCUUCCCCUUCCCUGGAGCUGGAUGUGUGGGGAAACAGGCUCCUGGCACACUCGGGAGGCUGAUGUUACUCUGCUUCCUCGGUGGUACUGGUACAGCUCGUUCCGGUUUGCUCUGGAUCGAGCCGUAGCUGCCAUCACAUUUUACAGGGAGCAACAGCGAGCCUACAGGACAGUCUGCCUGUGCGAUGCCGAUGCGGGCCGGUUGCAUGCGCGCCAGGGACGUCUUCGUGCGGCCAACGCCGAGCUGGGUAGCAAGCUAGACUCUACUGCGGUAUUUCCGUAUGAGCUAGCAUCAAUCAAGGUGAGCAAAGCGACCGUGAACCAGUUCACCUGUAGCCUCUACCCGUGGAGUUUCCAAACCGCAUUUUACAGUUGUAUAGUAUCACAAUGGUUUCCAUCCGGGGCUGGUAAUUUACAGUUGGAAAAUGAUGACGUUUGUAAGAAUUUCUGGGUUGCCAAACAGGGCCUAAGCAAUUAACAAACAUGUUCAUGAAUGAGCUUAAAAAUUGCCAAAAAAUACAUACCCCCAGUCUAAUAAAUCCAUCUAAUAUAUAAUUUGUAUUUGCAGUGUGUCACCUGGAUAGUUCAUUCGAGCCAUAUGGCGUCGUCAUGCAUUUCUAGAAUAUUAUUUAAUUUUUAUUGUAUAUAAUCAUUCAAAUAUAAUCACACACUGUAUAAAUUCUGAUUUGAUGCUUAUAUAACAAAACACUGUCCAAUUCCAUAGUUUGCCAUUCAAACAUGAUUUGGUAUUGAAAUUUCACCGAGUUUCCACCAGCCAAUUCAAUGGGCAUCAAACAAGCGAAUUCGUGUUCAUGACCAUUACAGUUUCCUAAAUGAAUUGAAGUUGAAACCAAUUUAAUAUGGAGGCCUCCAAUACAGACAUCCAAACAUAGCGUUGGUGAAAACACACAAGAGCCAAUAGAAAAAACCGUAGUCAGAGGAUGGACGGGGAAAAACCAUCUAUAAUGGUCGGCCCAUGUCCUAUAUUGCGAAGAAUAUGAUUUUCCCCAUCGACACCCUUCCAGAUCACACAGCGGCACCAUCUAAAGAAAAAAUCACACACCGGCGGGCUCGCCGCCGCCUCUGUCUGCUUUCUGCGGCUUGUGCUGUUUCCUAAAUGAAUUGAAGUUGAAACCAAUUUAAUAUGGAGGNNNNNNNNNNNNNNNNNNNNNNNNNNNNNNNNNNNNNNNNNNNNNNNNNNNNNNNNNNNNNNNNNNNNNNNNNNNNNNNNNNNNNNNNNNNNNNNNNNNNNNNNNNNNNNNNNNNNNNNNNNNNNNNNNNNNNNNNNNNNNNNNNNNNCAAUUUAAUAUGGAGGUCUCCAAGCUGUGUGUUGGAGAAUAAAUUGGAAUGCAAAUUUGUUGUCGAUUUCAAAGUGUUCUUCCACGAUUGCAAUGACGUAAUCAUGAUUGAUUUCUCGAAUUUUUUAGGAGGGAGGGAUUUGAAAUUGCUGCGUACCUCGAGUCCUUAGUCUCGUCCUCUCCGGCGAACGGCCAACAGCAGGAAGGUCCACCUCCUCCCGCCAACCCCCCUCCCCGCCCCCCUUCCCUCCUCCCGCCACCCCCUUUCCCCUCCUUCCGCCACCCCCUUACCCCUCCAGAUCUAGCUGCAGGGUAGCGCCUCUGCUCCAAUCCAGCACCACUGCUCCUCUCCUAUGUGCAUCAGGUGACCAUCAAUGUAUCUCCCCGGCCCCCCCUCUCCCCCUCUCCUUGCUCUUCCUCCCCAUGCUAGUGCUAUGUUUCUUCUGUAUCUGUCCUCUCUGUUCUAAUUUCUGAAUGUGAUGUACAUGUACUGCCUGACUGCCUGCUUCACUGCCGCUAUCUGUAGAGAGUAGACUGCUGCUAGUGCUAAUGCUAUUGUAAAUUGCUAGUGGCUGAUGCUUUGAUUAAUUUGGUGAUUUAGUUUGUUGUCAUACAUAUUACAGAAUUAGGUUAUGUCUAUGAAGUUGUGAUUUAAUUUCCUAUCAUUCACCAUAAGGUUGUGUCUAUGAUGUCGCCACGUCAUACGCCAUAAGUGUUAUAAUGUUAUGAAGGGGGUCGGUCACCAUAAAACGCGCUACGCCAUAACAACAUUGGUCUAUUCAGUGAUUAAAUUUGGAAAUAAUAUAAUGGAGGAAAUUUGGGGGAACAAGCAGCAGGGGUUACCCUCGGCGUUGCCUGGUUUGUGACCAAUGGGAUCAACUGUGGUCUGCAGCAUGGCAACAGUUCGUCCACGUGCUGGAUCAGAAAGUUCUCAGAUUAUUGCUGAUAGAGCCUGAACUCUCGUUCCCCAAAACCUGUUAGUGUCACCAUUGCAGGUGUGACUAUCAUGUAGUACCAGUCUGAUUGUUGAUGUUAGGUGCGAUUUAAUCUGAAAUCUGUUUGUUCUGUGUGAUAUCACAGCGUGCCCCCUUUGAAAGCGGGUAUUAGUUAAUCAUGGUGUUCAGCAAGGUGGAAGUGAACUUGAAAAGACUGCUUGAGGCGGCCCCCCGCCAGCAGAAUCAGGCUAAGCUUGUCCAUGUAAGUGUAGCUCCUCUAAUCUUCUUAGAUUUGUACCAUUCUUAAUUUCUGUUCAACAUCGGAGACGGCAAUGCUCCGUAAUUAACUUGAACGGACGAGAAGGAAGGUAUAGCUUCCAUGUGGAUCCUUUUGUUGUUAAAAUUAGUAUAAGGAAAUUUCUUAAUGGAAUUUGCUUGCUUCAUUCUGUUUUUGUUCAACUUUAACAGGUGGUAGCUAAUGGAUAUCGUCAUUUUAAUCUUUAUCAUUUUGUCUGAAUCAUGUACUGGCACUGACAGCCUCCAUUUGCAGUACAUAACCACAGCCAGGGAGCUGUUGGAGCAGCUUGGAGCUGAAAUUACACCAGAAGGAAUAUCAAGGUAUGGUAUAGUGUUGUGUGAUAUUGGAGGAUUAAUAUGUUGAUGGUGGUACAGCCUGCAAGCUGCAAUCUGUGUUCCAGCUAGCAUUUGUUGAGGAUCCAUAAUUAUAGAAAGAAAUGCAACCGGUAUAUGACAAGAUCGUAACCAUCAAUGUUGUAGUCUAAUAUUAAAUUAUAGUGUACUCUUGCUCCUAGUUUGUGAAUUUAGUGUCUCCUUCCAAGGUACCAAUACUUAAAUCAUGCCAAUGCAUCUGUACCAAUACCACCAUCCAUUUAUAUGUAUUUCCUAUUAAGAUAGAGGAUUAGUGGUUGUUAGUCAUUGAAUACAGUUUGCUGCCAGCUUGCUUACAUUGAUCGUGUGUUUCAGCAUUUCAACUUCUCCAUAAUGUUGCUAUAGGAAUGGGCCCAAAAUUUGAUAGGAACUCAUGACGAAUGCCACUAUAGCUUGUAGCUUACAUAUUUAAAAGCUUCUCUUUGUACAUUAACUGGACUCCAGAUGUACCAUUCUUCUUCAGUAUAAAAGAGCCCAUGCUUCUCCACUCAAUAAAGACACACAAAUCUGGAUACUCUUUUUCUUUUGAAUUCAUGCAAAUCAGGAUACUCUAUCUGUAAAGAUACUCUCCUUGCUUGACAAAAGAAAUCUUACAUGAAGGUUCAAACUACAAAUUUUCCUGAUUUUCUUCCAUUUGAUGCCUGCAUUUUGACAAUGAGAAUGUCUGAUAUACCGCCUGCCUUUUCAUCGGCGAGCUUAAUGCUGAUAAUCUUGUGUGGAGCAAAGCAAGUUGUCCUUUUCUCUUUACGCGUGCAUUCCCAUGAUCAGAACAUGUUUAUUCAUGACUUCCUUCUUGAUUCAGUGUUUCAAAAGCUAAGCUCAGUGAGUAUUCAGAAAAGAUUGAAGCACUAGCUGCCACGCUUGCUUCUCUAGUGGUAUGUGUUUAUCAUGUUUAUAUCGAUAUGCUACAUACCUCUACAUGUAACGGUGCAUACCACUGUUGCUCAUACAAUUUAGUUUCUAGAUGCACUUUCAUUACAGUACUAUAUUUUUCGAUGCAGCCAGAAAAUGAAAAUCUGGUUGAUGAGAGUAGAGAACAAGACAGCUCUUAUGAAAGAGAAAAGGUUGGGAGUCCAAUAUCCUUAUCAUCAGGAUUGCGGAGGAGAUCGACGUAAGUGAAAUUUGGUCCUUUUAUAUGUUGACUUUUCUUAAAGUUCCAACUAAUGGACCAAUGGAUGCAAUUAAAUAGGGCUCAGGUGGAGGUUGGACCAAGCAGUCAUGAGAGAAAAGAAAGAGAAGCUGGAGCACCUAUUAAAUUGGAUGCAGAAGCUCAAGCUCACAUUGAGAAGCAUAGGUAUGUCCCCCUUUUUUGCAAGUUUCUUUGGACCACAGUCUCUGGCUUAAUGCUCCCAUUAUUCUUAUCCACAUGAGCAACCAGUUUAUUGAUCUAUUUAUUGACUGGUCUUUAGUGACUUUUCUGUUAUGAGAAGUUGAAAGCUGUAAUCACUGUUAUAUUUUAUUAUUACCCCUUUCUUUUAAUGGUUUAAGAGCAAAGCAUGGAAAGUUCAGGGUCAUACAAGAUGAACAACUAAAGUCCUGUUCGGUAUCGCUCUGCUCCACAGCUCUCUGCUCCCGGAGCUGGUAGAGCUGUAGCUGAAAUGACGGAGCUGCAAUUUCCUGGCUCCGUGGAUUCCGGGAGUUGGUAGAUUACCGAACAGGGUUUAAAUAUACUGGCUACCCUCUUACUGUGUUAGAUCUCCCAACUGCACAGGAAGCUGCAAGAAGAUUUAACUGACGAAAUGGUUGACCUAGCACGCCAGCUGAAGGAGAGUAGCCUUUUAAUGAACCAGUCCGUGCAAGAUACAGAGAAGGUAGCCUUUUCGGUUGCCUCGGCGUUGUUUUAUCUUUGCGUCAAGUUACUUCAGUUCCCUUUCUGCUGGGCAUUUACUGAGAAUGCUCACUUGCUUGUGUACUUGUGAUUCAGAUCCUCGAUUCCACCGAGAGAGCUGUGGAGCAUAGCCUGGCGAGCACCGGGCGUGCAACGGCGCGAGCCUCGGAGGUCUACUCGGUGGCCUCCAAGACAACCUGCUUCCAGUGGCUGCUCAUCUUUCUGAUGACCUGCAUGUUUGUCAUGGUGGUUCUGCUCAUACGGAUCACCUGAUGUCGCCGUGGCUACUGAAAACCGCGUCACCAGGAGCCGUUAAGAUAGUUCUGCGGUCUUGUCAACAGGCCUUAUAUGAAGAUAAACUUGAGUUCCGGAGGAGCACUGUUGCUCACCAUCGUUAGGCGGUUUGCUGAAGAAAGAUGUCCCGUUGGGAGAACGCAUCGGCUCACUGUUAAUUUUGGAAAUACCAAAUGUUCUUGUUCAUGCACAUUUUCUGAUCUGGAAAUUCUGGUCUAAAAAGCAUGUAGAUGUUUCCCCUCAAACAAUGUAUAUAAUUCAGUCGAUAGCUUCAAUCCUAGCCACACACGAUCGAUCCAAACGUUGACUCUGUAUCCCUGGGGCAGAGCAUACGGUUCCAGGAGCAAAUCGAACAGAGCCCUCGGCCGCACUUGAGCUGGGCGCUCGCGACACCCACGGCGCAGUAGAUUCAUGGGCUUCGGUGGGGUUUUCGCCUGGUGAGUGGUGACGACUGUUGUAGUCAGCUCUGAUCUGCUCGUGGACUUGGUAGCUUCUUGGCAGAGAUUUGUGUAGCUUGCCAAGUGCUUACUACCUUGUGCUACUCCUUGCACGCGUGGUUUUUGAUGGAUUACUUGAGACUAGCUGGCGGUAGUUCAUAGGCAAAAAAAAAAAAAAAAAGCUGAAAAGAUGCCACGGGAGAUUGAGAUUGCGAUGGUUAAUGACUUAGCGAUCGGACGUCACAUCAUUCCUUGAGAGCCAAGUAGCUCUACAAGCAGCUGCUGCUCCCACUGCCACUACAAUCUAAUCGCUCCGUGUAAAAAAAAACACUCUUAUAUUAUGUGACAGCAAUUGAAACAAUGGGUACCUGAAUCGUGGAUGCUAAAAAAUUACUGAAAACUUGUGCGCAUUUGUUGUUGUGGCAAUUUUGACCAACACAAACCUUGCACAUAAAUCCUCAAAUUACUGAUAAUCAACUUGAUAUGUUGCUUUUCUGGACUCUGUGCUGUGCUAUCUUCAUGGCGUUGCUCGUUUGAGGAUUGAGAUGCUACUUCCUAAGUCCGAAAUUACUUGUCACAAAAAUGGAUACAGAUAAAUGUAUGUAGAACUAAAAUACAUCUAGAUACAUUCAUUUCUAUGAUAAGUAUUUUCGAACGGAGGAAGUAUAUAUGUAUCAUCAGAAAUUAAUGUAACAGAUAAAUUGCAAUGUUGUUGUUCGAAUGUCCGCUUUCUGCUGCCUGCUGAUUUUAAGCUAGUAUUGGUAUUUCCUAGAUGUUUGUACAUUGUGUUACUGUUCGUUUUUGUUUGGCAGUGAUUAUGAAGUUGUUUAUGGAUCCGAGGAGCAUUCCUCCGUUGUCUACAAAACACUAGCCGUUGACAAGGAGGUAAAGAAGCCACAGUUUACCGGACUCUUAACAUGAUCACCACGUUCUUAACUUUCUCAUGGUUGUUCGUUCAUGGCAUUUUUUGAGGCGUGAUUCAGGAUCAUGGUUCACCCGAACGUAUCCUUCACGUCGUACGAUUCAACAUCCUUUUACAUGUGAAUCUGUGUCAUGCAUAUCAACUUUAUCUAACAUUUUGUGUCAUUUUUUAUUUUUUUUAAAAGGAGGCUCACCUCCGGCCUCUGCAUCAGAAAGAUGCAUACGACCAUAUUUAUUUAAAAUCGAAAAUAAUGUCUGCAAUCCACAAAUAGACUAUGCAAAGGCUGAAAAGUAAAGAAGUGAAUUUUAAAAAAGCUACAACCGGCCUAAAAUAAGACUAGAAACCUAUCCACCUAUUCUAUUAUUGGACCGCAAUCCAAACUGGUUAAAGAAAUCCCGAGCUACCAUCUCUCAUCGGAUAGAUCCAGUAGCCAAACACUCCCUAUUCUCAGCAGGAGUGAGUAGGGACCAUGUACGGAUCAAAGAAGUUGUCCUGUGUAAAACCUGCAAAAAAUUGGUUUUAUAAAUUUUGUUAUAAACCAUGUCAUUUCUGUAAUUCCAUAUAGCCUAAAGUAACGCACAAACUCCUAUGCGAAUCUGUCUUGCCACGUUGAUGUCUACUCCAUCCAGCCACGUCCCAAAUAACGUUUGAAUGCUUGGUGAAGGUGUGAUAUUAAAGGCUAUAUGAAUUGAAGUCCAAAGAAUUUUUGCUAACGGGCAGUCAAGAAAGAGAUGUUUGAUUGUCUCUAACUGGUUACAAAAGCCACAACUUUUGUUUUCGCGCCAAUUACGUUUUGCCAAAUUAUCCUUCACGAGAAUCACUUCCUUGUGAAUGAACCACAUGCAAAUUUUGAUUCUUAAAGGGACCUUGAUCCUCCAAAUAUGAAUAGAUCUUGGAAUUGUUCCAGAGUCAAUGAGGUCUAAGUACAUGUUUUCACCGAAAAGAUGCCAUUCUUAGAUAGCUUCCAAUGAAGUCUAUCAGCCUCGUCCCAUAGGUUAACCUCCAUCAGCCUCCUAACUAGAUCAAUCCAAGCUAUCCAUCGAUCGCCUUGUAAACUCCGUAUGAACUGAAUUUCAGAGGAACAGACUGAAGAACAGUAGCAACAUAAGCCUUCUUAGGCUGCACAAUGUUAUAUAGACAAGGGUAUUGCAUGGCUAGCGACGUCUCACCUAGCCAUGCGUCCUCCCAAAACCUCGUAGUCCCUUCAUUCCCGACGAUAAACUUAGUCCUCUGAAAUAACGUCGACUUCGUUCUCAUUAGACCUUUCCAGAAGGGUGAAUCAUUGGGUUUCAUGGUGACUUGAGCCAAGGUUUUUGCAUGUAAAUACUUAUUUCUCAGAAUCUGUAUCCACAUGCCAUCAUUCUCCACGGACAAUUUGUAUAACCAUUUGCUAAGAAGACAUUUGUUUUUGACUUCUAAGUUCUCGAUCCCGAGACCACCUUGCUCCUUGGGUCUACAGACAAUAUCCCAUCUAGAAAGUCUGUAUUUUCUUUUUAUCUCAUCACUUUGCCAAAAGAAACGCGAUCUAUAGAAGUCCAACCUCUUCCUCACCCAACCGUAAUCUCAAAGAAGGAAAGUAGGAACAUUGGCAUACUCAUGAGAACUUAGUUAAUGAGGACCAGCCUACCACCCUAAGACAAUAGCUUUUCAUUCCAGCAACUCAGUUUUUUCUCGAACCGUUCCUUGUUAGAUAACUUCCGAUGAUGUAUUGGUAUACCUGGAUAGCUGAAAGGCAAGGUACCUAAAGCACACCCAAACAACUGUCUGUAUGUAUCCUAUUCUUCUUUGGCCUUCCCAAAGCAGAAUAGUUCACUUUUGUGAAAGUCGAUCUUCAACCAUCAUAGCUAUUCAAACAAGCAAAUGACUAGUUUCAUAUUCCUGACCUUUGCAACAUCAUGUUUCAUGAACAAAAUAGUGUCAUCAACAUAUUGUAGUAUGGAUACACCAUCAUUAAUCAGGUGUGGGACAAGGCCUCCGACCAGGCCUUCCUGUUUUGCCCUCCCAAUCAUAAUUGCCAACAUGUCCGCAACUAUAUUGAAGAGGAUAGGAGACAUUGGGUCCCCCUGCCGUAAGCCUUUGUGCGUUUGAAAAUAAUGUCCAAUGUCAUCAUUGACUUUAAUUCCAACGCUUCCCUUUUGUACAAAGGAUUCGACAUGUUUUCUCCAUACAUCAUCAAACCCCUUCAUACGUAUCGCUUGCUGAAGGAAAGACCACUUAACUUUAUCAUAUGCUUUCUCAAAAUCCAAUUUAAAGAUGACCCCACCUAGUUUCUUUGAGUGGAUUUCGUGCAGCGUUUCAUGAAGGACAACCACACCCUCUAGUAUGUUUGUGUCAUGCAUUGUUUAACUUGUAAACAUCUUUUAUCAUGCAUUUUUUAAUCAACCAUGCACAGAUCUUCAUGAAUAGUGUCCAGAGAUCAAUGGUGUCUAGUGUAGGUUCGACUGAACCAUGGUCCACGGAAACACUUUCGUCGAAUACUCUAUUUGAUGUCUUUGCAUCAUAUUGCAGUUGCAACCCAAUAAGGUCAGGCGGGAGACGACUGUUUCUGGUGGCAAGCUUCUCAUGUUAGUAAACCUACACCCACAUUUCUAAAAGCUUCCUUUGCGUUGCUCCAUGAGGGAAGCAUUUGAUUUAUUUAUCUUUGCGAAGAGGCACUGUUUAAACCUGAGCAUCUUCAACAGACGCCUAAAAAGUGUUCCGCGCGUUAAAAGAUUCAUUUUUUGGGCACCGGAUAGCUCCAACAGACGCUGCAAAACAGUGUGCGCGUUAAAAUUUUUUGGACGCGCGCAACAUAUUUGGUGCGCCGGCUUACGCGCGCAGCAAACUCUGUGCUGCUGCCAGUGGGGUCGCUGGAUUGGGCGCCCCACUCGUACGCGUCUGUUGGAGAUACUUCGGUCCUCGCGUUUUAAAAGUGCUACAGUGACACGCUAACCAUUUUAUUGGACGCGAUAUUUUUUGUGCUGCUGUUGGAGAUUACAUAUAUAUAUAUUUCAGGCACUUUGAAGCAGCAGAGGCCCGGUUCCUUCGAUCAUUUUUCAGUGUGUUUGUUGACCUUUAUGGUGCUUGUGACGAAGCUCGUGGAAGAAUAUGGCGUCGUGAGCCAGGAAGGNNNNNNNNNNNNNNNNNNNNNNNNNNNNNNNNNNNNNNNNNNNNNNNNNNNNNNNNNNNNNNNNNNNNNNNNNNNNNNNNNNNNNNNNNNNNNNNNNNNNNNNNNNNNNNNNNNNNNNNNNNNNNNNNNNNNNNNNNNNNNNNNNNNNNNNNNNNNNNNNNNNNNNNNNNNNNNNNAGAUGGCCGAUGGCCCAAUCUAUUUAAUCAGAACGUCCGUAUCUGUGGAUGUGCUCCCAUUUGCCAAGCUAGAAGCUAGCUAUAUUGGACAACACAACACAGGGAGCUGAUCUCACUGUCCUGAUGGAUGUGUUGUGAAUAAAAACCUUGUUUUUAUUGUACUAUAUAAGCUGUCACUGUUUGCUUGAUCAACCACUGCCCUUUUGGCUUUUGGCAGGCCGAUGUCUAGGCACUAGAAGGGAUGCUGUGUGGUUGAGCCAGUAAACAGUAUAGGUAGAAAGAGACAACCAAGCUAGUAAAAUCAAUCAUAGUAAAUGAAAGAACCUCCAAUUAUUAAAUUAAUAUACUGCCAUAUUACAGUCUAUUGAUCGAUACAUGGAUGCCACAAAUCAGUUAAGGUCUGAGGCGAGAUAGAGACUGCAACAUAAGCAAGUACUUACUACGUGGUACAGAGCAUGGCCAGUACACAUGCAUGUACAACAUGCACAAGUAGUACUAGAUCGCGUCUUAUUAUUGUGACCACACCAACCUAAGGACUACUAAGAGAGAUCGAGGCACACACACCUGAAGGUAAAUUAACUAACGCCACACAGUACAAUCCAGUAAAAAUGGUAAUUAACUAACUAGUAAUCCACACGCGCGCGCACCCUGCAGUAGUAAUUAACUAAUCAAAUCCAUCACUUCUCCAUGUCCAUGCAUGUCGUGUUGCGUAUUCGUGUCGUGUCGUGGUCGAUGUUGGUGGGGUGGGGUGGGGUGGAGUUCUGUGUGUCUCACACGGCGGGGGCGGGGACGAUCUCGAUGACCUCCGGCUGGUCGACUGCCUCGGCCGCCUUGGCGGCAUCCUUGACGUCGAUGGCGGUCUGCUGCUCUGCCGCCAUGACCUCGAUCUUGUGCACGCCGAGGAUCGGGGUGGGGCUCACGGACAAUAUGGCGACGGCGUGCACGGGCAGCUCGAUCACCUGCGGCUGGUCCGCGGCGCCACCAUUGCCGGCGUCGGCGGUAGUAGUGGGUAGCACGGCGUUGCUGGGCUUGCGGUACCAGCAGUAGAGCCCGAUCUGGACGCAGCUGAAGAAGAAGCCGCCCACGUUCGGGUACUGCAUGGAUGCGCACAUGCAUGGCAGAGUCAGAGAUCCGUCCACUCGAUCAAUGGCAGGAGCAAUGCCAAUGGAACAGAGUAAUUAGGUAGCAAGCAUACCAUGACGAAUGGGUCCCUGGUGAAGAGGCCGUAGCAGAACCACGCGAUGGCGCUGAGGACGAGGCAGAAGGAGAGGCCGACGGGCAGGAACUCCACGCUCUUGGUCUUGAUCACCUUGAACUGCAUGCAUGCGCGCCAUGUCAAUUAAUCAACUGUCAUGCAUUGCAUGGCCAUGGCCAUGGCCGGCCAAAACGAUCGAAUCGAAGCACAAGAGAGAGAGGCGGCGGGCCUGACUUACGAUGAUGGAGAGCGGCGAGACGAAGACGGCCAGGGAGAAGGCGAGGCAGACGCUGCCGAGGAACUUGACGCGGUGUGCCGGCGCGAAGGCGUACAUGGUGACGAGGAGGACGAGGCCGAAGGCGGCGACGUCGAGGAUGAAAAAGUAGGCGAGCGUCCUGAGCCUGGCCCUGGGCGGCGCGUAGACGAGGUAGGCGAUGAUGUAGACGGUCUCGAUGCCGCAGCCGAAGCCGUUGAUGGUGAGCAGGAGUGGGGACUCGGUCUUGACCAGCGCGUAGAAGAUGAGCAGCGAGCAGCUGAAGAGCGCCACCACGUACGGCACCGAGCUGAACCCGCCCGUCGUCUUCUUCCUGUAGAUCCGCAGGAACGUCGCC
rnacentral:lncRNA from 1 species